GAUGGAGAUCUUCUGAUUGCUUGAUUAUCUCUUCUUUUGGAAUACUUUGGAUUGUCAUCAAUCUCUUUGAUUUCCUUCCUUAUGAGGCCUCCGUCACAUGCAUGCAAUUCUCUGGAAAUCUUGGGUUUGAAUCCGUGGUUUGGGCUUGGACCUCUAAGUCUUUGGAUUGACAUUUGGCGAAACCUUAUAACUUCUGGAUUUUUAGAAUUCCAUAUCCUAGGAGUUCUAAGUUUUGGUUGAAAAUCUACCAAGGUGAUGAGUUCUUCAAAUAUUUGGAUAAGUACUUAGUCCCAUGUUAGGCCAUCUUUGAGUUCUCUAAAUAUUUGGAUAUUAACAAAGAUCUACCCCAUAUCCAUUGAGUUCUCCAAUUAUUUGGAUGUUGGUCACAUGUUGGACCAUCUUAAGUUCUCCAAAUAUUUGGAUAUUGACAAAGGUCUAUACUAUAUCCAUUUGAGUUCUCCAAAUAUUUGGAUGUUGGUCAUGUGUUGGACCAUCUUGGGUUUUCCAAAUAUUUGGAUAAGUACUUGGCCCCACGUUGGGCCAUUUUUGAGUUCUCCAAAUAUUUGGAUAUUAGCAAAAAUCUACCACAUAUCCAUUGAGUUCCCCAAAUAUUUGAAUGUUGGGGAUUCUAGAUUUGGUUAAGAAUCCGAGAAAAUUGACAUGGAAACUCUAAGAUUCACCAAGAAAACUUUUAUUUAAUCUUCAUAUAUAUAUAUAUAUAUAUAUAUAUACAGAGAGCUUCCAUUGAGGGAUCCCUCAGAGGGACACUCCUUGUAGGGUCCAUUCCGGAUUGUAUUUCACUAAUCCAAACCGUCUAUUUUGUAGAUACUCAUUCAAAGAUCAUCUCUACAAAAAAUCACUUGAAUCUGAUAUCAUUUGACCAUUCAAUUGAGUUAUUGAAAUUUUAGUACUUUCUUGAAGCACCUUGUUCAUUGAUGUUGUAGGACACAAUUGGAUGUUGAAACGGUUUCUGAUUUGUCUAAUUUUUUGUAAGGAUGAUCUAUGAAUGAAGACCUAAAAAAUAUAUGGUUUGGAUCAUUAGAAAAAAAAUUGUAAAGUACCCUAAAGAGCGUCCCUCAAAUAAAAUUAUUUGAGGGAUCCCUCAAUAGAAGGGGACUGUUAUAUAUAUAUAUAUAUAUAUAUAUUUCUUUCUUUCUUUCUUUCUUUAUUUGAGCAAGGCCAUUUUUGGUCUUCUCAUUUCCGUUCGAGCACCCCAGGCCAUAAGGCCUAGAACUAAGGCCUAGUUUGGGAUUGCUGUCACUUUUAAAAAAAGUUGCUUCUGCUAUGCUUUAAAAAUAAUUAGCUGUAAAGUAAAGCAGCUCCAUGUUUGGUAAACACUAUUUUUAAAGUGUUGUUAGUACAAAAAGCAGUGUUAAAACUGUUUGGUAAAUUUUAAUAUAAAAUUGUUGUAACUGUGAAUAAUGACUAAAAUAGACAUGAUGUUAAAAGUGUUAUGCACUAAUCAUGUGGUGGUAGUGGUAGUGAUGGAGUGGAGUUGGUAGUGGAGAUGAAGGCGGAGUUGGUGGUUGUGGUGGUGGGGAUGGCAGUUGUGGAGGUGGCGGUGGUGGUGGUAGUGGCAGCAUGGUGGUGGAGGUGGAGGUGGUAGUGGUGGUGGUGGUGGUGGUGGUGGUCGUGGUGGUGGCGGUGGUGGUGGUGGUGGUGGUGGUGGUGGUGGUGGAGGAGGUGGUGGAGGUGGAGGAGGUGAUGGUGGAUGUGGUGGUUGUGGUGGUAGUGGUGGCGGAGGACGAGGAGGAGGAGGAUGUGGUGGUUGUGGUGGUGGUGGUAGCGGUGGCAGUGGUUGUGGAGGUAGUGAAUGUGGUGGUGCAAGUGGUGAAGUUGGAUGUGGAAGUGGAGGUGGUGUCAUUUUUUUAAAAUGAAUGAUGAUAUUUUGGGAAUUAAAAAAAUUCAUUAAAUGUUCAUCUCUACUUCUUUUGAAAGUAACUUUGAAAAGCAACCCAGAGUCUGCUUUUAAAAGCUGCUGUCAGAAGGCCACUGCUUUUAAAAUAAUCGGGAUAUUUUAUUUUUACCAAACACCUUAAACUGCUUAACUUUAAAGUUAAACAGGUUUUUGGCCAAAAAAAGCAAUCCCAAACGGAGCCUAAUUAUAUAAAUAUAACAUAUAUGUGUAUAUGUAUAUGUAAUAAAAAAUAGUAUAUGCCAAUUAAUGGCCUUUGCAUCCAGGCUGCAUGGCCUCUUCUUAUUAUCUUUUUAUUUUGCAAUAUAUAUAUACAUAUAGGGACGGAUUUAUAAUUUAAAACUGGGGUAGGCUAAAUUUAUUUUACGUACAAACCUACUAAAAAUAUAAAUGCAUGUAAUUGUCAUCCAUGAAUAUUUGUUCAAAAAUACAAGGCUAAAUAAAGUAUUUUUUUUAGCAUAUCAAAAUAAAGUAAUUUAAAUAUAACUAAAAAUACAUUAGAAGAGGGAGUUUAUUACAAGCUAGAAGGUUGGAAAAGAUGUGUAGCUAUUGCUUUAUGGAACUUGAGUGUGUAGUGAGAAGGAAAUUAAUUAAUAAAAACGAUGGGUUGGGUUUCAUAAAUUUAAUUAAAACGACAUCGUGUGUAUUAAAUAUCCCUCUUAUCAAACUUACUAUUUCAUUGAAAAAAAAAAAACAAACAAAGCUUUUGUUGUAAAUGUAUGAGUUGGUGGAUGACCACUAUACCUGUUAGCAUUCAACCUUUCUAAUUCUAUGUAACCUAUGCACUAAAUACUAUAGUUAUGGGCUUGUAACUUAUGAGUUGUUAAUGUCUUCUUACCAUUGUAAGCCUAUAAAUAAGAGGUCUUAACAAGAUGAGAGAUACAAGUUGAUUGAUGCAAAUUCUGUUGUCUCUCUCUACUUUCGAAUUCUCUCUACAAUUUUUCCUUAUUUAUAUAACAGCCCAGGUUAGCCAUAUGCACGGUCCAUCCAUAUAGAUAUAAUGCAUCAGCAUAAGACCUCUUUGGGGAUUCAAGGGACCUCAUCUUGGCUCACCUUGGCAAAACUCACUUUGGCGGAUUGGAGGUCUCGGAAUUGGCAGAUAAAGGGAAAUUUGACAAUCCUAAACACACGUCCAAGUCACUUACCACAUCAUCAAUGUCGACCAUCUAGGUCCUCUUCUCUGCAUUUUCAAUGUUUUCCCAAAGCUGUUAGAAAUGUCAAAAAGUCAAGGAUUUGUUCAAGAAGGAAGAUAAUGGGAAAGUUUUGUUCAACUAGGAGAAAGAAAUUGGUUGUGCAAAUCAGUCAACUUCAUGGAUGACCCUUCCGUCAUAAUGAACCAUCUUAUGAGCCAUACACUAUGGAAACAUCUGGAAGUCAGCUUUCUAAAGAGUUUUACAGUUCAUGAUUUGGAUUUUUUCAGGAGGAGUUGUCAUUGUUUUGGUGCAAGAUGUUUAAAAGAGGAAAUUUGUUGUCUUCUUAGAGAAGGGAAACAUAAAUCAAUUUUGAAAUGGGAGACUUUGGAAAAACCCAAAGGAGAGAGAAAAUUUUUAAAAGAAGCAAAAAUGGACAAAAUUACCCUUAUUUAUUUUUUAAUUUCCUAAGAAAUCCUUUACAUUUGCAUGUCUUUGGUUUGAAAGUUGAGAGGUUAUUCUGUCUUUUUUGAAAAAGCUUUGGCUUUUUCCAAAAGUGAAAAUUUUUUUAUGGGUAAAACCUAAAUUUACUUUUUGAAAUAGGGAACCUAUUCUAACGUGAAUAAAGCUUUCUCCCUUAUAAAUAUCACCUUUUGCUGCACCAUUUAACGUACAAUUCUCAUUACACCACAAAACAUAAUAAGGUUGAAGCCAAUAUUACAACCAUUAAAAAGAAAUCAUGGCCAUGAAAUUAAGAUCAUCAAAUCCUUUUAGCUACUGCUUAUACAUAGGCAGCAACAGUGGGCAUUUAAAAAAAAAAAUUAUUUAAAAAAAAAAAAGAGAGAGAACUAAAAACAAGAAAGGGAUUUGUAAAUCAAGUGCUUAAGAGCAUUACAACUUUUUGUCCCGAAAAAAAAAAAAAAAAAAAAAAAAAAAGCAUUACAACUUGAAUGGUAUUCUCUAAUUCUGUAAAAUUCAUUUUAGAAAAACUAUUCAAUUAUAACUGGUUACAUUUGCCUCUAUAUCUGGGAUAAUAACGUAUAUGUCCCACAACUUUGCAAAUUAUGUCGAAUCAAUAAGGAUCAUACUCAUUUUCAGAAAAAUGCAUUUUAAGUCCCUGUUUAAACCAAAAUUUGCAAUUUGCCCUGAACUAAAAUGGGGAAUUUUUGAAGUUAUUAUCUUGAUUUUUCUUAAGAAAACUGAUUGGAAUAAAAGAAAAUAUUUUUUAAAAUAUAAUAUGGCCAACACAUGGCCAAAUUUGCUAGUUCAUAAUCGCCAGUCAGAUUGAAUCAAUCAAAAGAGCAACUUUCAAUGCGCCAACGUGAUUGAUUCCUUCAUGAAAGGUGUUCCCAAAGAUUUGUAGAAAGUGUUUGUGCCGUUCAGUCAGAUUGAGCCAUGUCCUAAUGGAUUUUCCAUUUCUCAAAUGAAGUUUGUGUGUUCAUGAAAGUUGUUCACCGGGAUGUCUACUAUAACAUAUACAAAUUUGGGAAACUUUACAUUAAUGUGGCCUUCUCAUACUAUCAAACAUUGAAUUCUAUGCGGAAAGAAUAUCAAACGGGCUGGUUGCCAAGCUUUAUUGGGGUGGGUUGACAAAGAAAAAUAUUAAAAUCAAGAGAGAAGCUAUGAGAGUACUUUUGGGGUUCAGAAAGCAAGUAAAUAGUGAGGAAUGGAAAUCAAAAGUGACAAGAAUAAAGAAGGAAGAGAAACAAUGACAGAUAUUUUGAAUUACUAGGGAGCCACACCAAAAUAAGUUCUAUGGCUUUCUUUAUUUUCAGCAACCCAUUAACAAUCCAUGACAAGUGGGUAUUUCUCAUUGGCAGAGCUCGACUAAACACCAAAUCCACCUCUAUUUCUUUAUAAAUAAAAGGAGAAGCCAUCAAGAAAAGAAUCUUGAACUCUCAACACAUAUGUCUACACACUUCGAACCUCAUCUCGAAUAUUAGAAUUAUAAUCUUCCAUUAGAAUUCUUAGUGUAAGAAUAUUUUAUACAUAUUUUGUGUGGCCUACAUGAAGUGACUUAUGUGAUAAAUAAAUUGUUUAAUUGAUUUAAUAAAUAUUAUUUAGAAUAAUUAUAUUGGUCAAAUAAAGAGAAGUAGUUUCCUAUUUAUUAUUGUGAUGAGUGGUAAUUGAUUAUGGUCUUCACAAGGAAACGGGUCUUCUUUAUGCCUAUAAUAGUGCACAUACCCGUCUUAUGUGUACACUGAUGAAGACAUGUAUUUCAGUUUUUCUAAUGUACAAAAGGCUAGAGAGAGAAAUCUAUUUCCUCUACAUUGACGGCUCGCCUACGGAUCGCUCAAGACAAAUAUCUUGAGAUGAUAGAAGACUAAUCAUUCAAGGUAUGUAUGUAAUUUAAGUCUAAUUCCACCUAAUGCUAUUGUGAAAAUCAUGAAGUUCAAGAUCUUGGGUCAUGAAUUGGGUCUAAUGAUUUUAUCCAAUAUUAAGUUUACAUGUGAUAGAUAUCAAAGCAUGGUUAAUAACUCUCAUGAUUUUCCAUUAUGGAUUAUUGGGUUUGAUCUAUUAACUUGAUUGAACUGUAAUAGUUUCCAUGAUUUAUUAUGAUUUCGAUUAAAUUUAUUUGAUCAAAUAAUCAGAGUCGUAUUUUGACAUUGGGUGAAUGUUUGGUAUAUGAUAUAAGAUUUCAUUUAUUUGGCUUUCGGAAUGAAAAGGUUAUUUUGCAUUUCAGGUGUUUGACAAUGAUUCAGUCAAAGUCUGUUUAAAGUUCAAGCCAAAACUACGUCGUUUUGGGCUAGGCAAAAAAAAAAAAAAACAAGAGGAUGAAACUGGACUGCAAUUCAUGGGCUUUAAACAACAUGCUUAAGCCUGUAUUUUGUGGGCUUUAAAAGUCUUUAAACAUGUUUUAUUUUCUUAUUUAAACAACGAUUACAAAAGAAUUUUAAAAAGAAGGAAAUCAAUUGGUUCUAUUGCUGUCUUUUUUUCUCUUCUUCACUAAACAUAAGUCUGUUGUGCUGCGUUUUUCUUUCCAUUUUGACCAAAAGCCAAUUCGUCUCUUCUUCUUUUCCUUUUUUUUUUUCAUUUCAUCUUUUUUCCCCUUUCUUGUAAUCUACUUCUUAUUUUAAUUGUUUCUGAUUUGUCUCUUAUGAUUACAUGAUGCACGACUCGAGGUAUGAUCAAUUAUAAUUUAUUUAUUGUAUUCAAUUUUUUUAUAAAGUUUUUACCCUUUUAAAAUUACACCUCCGUUAAAAAAUUUCUGAAUCUGCCAGUAUCUGUGAGUUUUAUUAUAUCUUGAAUAACUUGAAUGUCUCUCUAUGCAUGCUAAAGUGAUUAGUAUUAGUUUGUUUUUGAAUGGUUGUUCACCUGUCGGGUCCACAAAUUGCCAAUUGUGAAUUGACCAUACAGUAUUGGCUUUUCAAUUGGAAUGAAUAUUCCUAUGUAAUAAUGGUUUUAUACUGUGCAUGAUUUGGUGAUGAACUAGUAAAUUGGCUUAUAAAUGAAUCCAAGACAACUAGGCAAAUUUGCAUCUAAUGUAGCAUUAUGCAUUGUCUUGCUGCAAAAAAUGGAUGGAUCAUUUAUAGAUAAUAAUGCUUUGAUAUUUCCAUCUUUUCAUGGUCUGCAUCAUGGGUUCAUGUACGAAUAUAAAUAUCAAAAUGAUUUAGAUAUCCGCUUGUGCAUCAAUAUUAAAUUUACCUAUUCCCAUUAUGCCAAUUUUGAUAUAUCAUUGUAUUGGAUUCCAUAUAUAUAUCAAAUCCUAUGAAAGAGUGAAAAUACCUAUAGGAUGGCUUAAAACACCAAAAGUCUAAAGUUUGUGUUUUGAGUAGUUAAGAGUAUCACGAUAAUACAAAUAAAACAUACCAAGGGGAUUGAUACAAUGAUACAAAUAAACCCCACCUCUGGGGAAAAUCCACGGGACCUGUAUAGUCCAAGGCAAAUCCACUAUAAAACGAUGAUUACAAGAAGUAUACAAACUUGUCCUAGACACUCUAGACAACGCACCAACUUCUUCGUACCUCAACUUCUCGCAGGAUUUCUCCUUCUCUCCUUAUGUUGAAUUUGAUUCUUGACGCGAUCGAUCCAAACUCACCGGAGGUAUGAGAACCUUGUAACUUACGCAAAUGAAUGCAAGGACAAAUCACCAAGAUAAUCUUGCUCUUGAUGAUUUAUCCUAAUCAACAGAUUAAUUUUUCAAAAUCAUACUAAUUGAUUUCCACUCAAAGAAGACUUUUAAUGUUCAAAACUGGAAAGCAAUUUAUAAAAUAAAUUAAUCUUUGUUAAAAUAAAAAGUCUUCUUAAUCAUAAUGUUAAUCAGAUUUCGAGUUUGAAAUCAUGCUUGAAAUACCACAAUCAGAAUGCAUGAUUGAAUGAAGAAUUUACCUCAGUGAUCGUUGGUUGACAUAUGAGCCUUCAGAGCAUAUCUUGGAAUUCAGACAACCACCAUCACAGCUAAUUUACAAUCUAUACUUAGUCUAUUUGAUCUCUAGGAAAUGUCAAUCACAUAAACAAUACUAACAAUCUCCCCCUUUGGCAUUUCCUAGACAAAACAUCAAAUUACAAAGCAAAUAAAAUACAAUUCAAAGUGGUUUACAUCCCAACACUAAUUUCAGUAGUGAACCUUUAAAUCUGCACAAUAUCAACCAACUAAACCAGUGAAGAAUAAUAAAACCAAACGAGUAACAAAAAGUUUUGAAAUUAGCAUGGUGGCAUCACAAUAGUUCAAAUGUAAACAUAUCAGAACAGCACAUGUGAUUUGCUACCCCUAACUAAUACAAUGUUAUACAGCUAAACAAAAACUCCCCCUUGCUAACAAAAUUCCAGCUACCACACCUAUACCAAUUUCUCCCACUUUUUGGCAGGAAAUCCAAAGGAACCAGAGGGCAUGAUCUAGGACAGAGGGAAAAUUUUGAAAGGAAACCUAACCAGAAGGAGAGGCCAAAAGAUGAGCCUUAAUGGAGCGAAGACGGGUGUCCAGAACAACAAUCAUAUCACUUUGAUUGGCAAGAGGGUCGUGGAAAGUUCGCAGCAGAGUCAUAGUAUCAUGAUGGUGAAUACUGAGCUGAGUGAAAAGAGAUUGUUGAGGAAUGGUAAGUCCACCAUCAGGGCAUUGGGCAACCUAGAGACUUGAGAGAUGACCUUGAUCAGACUGGAACAGCCAAUAUCAUUAGUGGGAUAAGUUGGAAUGCCAUGAAACUUAGCCAAAGGUGUAAUGAUAUGAGGGAGAACCAGACUAGCAGAUGGACAUGAGGCAUUUCCAAAACCAAUAGCAAUAAGGCUUUCAUGGAGAAAGCAUUCAAUUGGAAUGAAGAACCCAAAUUGAAGAGAGUAAAGAAUCGUAGCUGCACGCCAACUGACCUUGCUGUGCUGAGAGGUGGGAUUGAGGAAGUUUCGAACAAGUAUGUAGAGAACUCUAUACCACUGGUUCAUCCGACCGAAGUGAAGUUCAGAAGGAGGCUCAGGAGGAGGAUCAGUACACAAGAGAUGCACCAGAGUGUGGCGUUCCACAUUGGCAAGAACAAAGGGAUUUGAUUCAAGGGAACGGCGCGAAGUCAACCCAAGAGCAGUAGCAAUUGAGUCCUUUGUGAGGGGGAUAACUAGACCCUGUACUCGAAUCACCAAGGCAGGACCAGGAACACUAGCACUUGUGACAAUUGGAAAAUUCGCAUAAAAUUCAUGCACAAUAGAGAAAUUAGGAAGCAGCAGACCUUGAACCAAGGGAGUCCAGCGACAUUCUGCCAUGAAGUGGUUGAAGGUAACCCCAAGGUCAGAAAGACUAAAGUCAUAUUCAAGCAACAGGGGACGAUGGACAAUAAUGUCAUGGUAACGAGCCUUGUGGGAAGCGGAUUGAAAUGGUUAUUUUGCACUUCAGGUGUUUGACAAUGACUCAGCCAAAGUAUGGUUAAAGUCCUAGCGAAAACUACGUCAUUUUGGACCAGGCAUAAAAAGAAAAAAGAAAAUAGGAUGAAAUUGGAUUGCAAUUCAUGGGCUCUAAACAACAUGCUUAAGCCUGCAUUUUGUGGGCUUUAAAAAGUCUUUAAACAUGUUCUAUUUUCUUAUUUAAACAAGGAUUACAAAAUAAUUUUAAAAAGAAGGAAAUCAAUUGGUUCUAUUGCUGCCUUUUUUUUUCUUCUUCACUAAACAUAAGUCUGUUGUGCUGUGUUUUUUUUCCGUUUUGACCGAAAGCCAAUUCGUCUCUUCUUCUUCUUUUCCUUUUUUUUAUUUUAUUUUUAUUUUUUAUCAUUUCAUAUUUUUUUCUCUUUUUUUGUAAUUUACUUCUUAUUUUAUUUUUUCUGAUUUGGCUCUUAUGUUACAUGAUGCACGACUCGAUGUAUGAUUAAUUAUAAUUUGUUUAUUGUAUUCAAUUUUUUUUUUUUUAUAAAGCUUUUAUCCUUUUAAAAUUGCACCUCCAUCAAAAUUCCUAAAUCUGCCAGUAACUGUGAGUUUUAUUAUAUCUUGAAUAGCUUGAAUGUCAUCAUUUUACACACCAACUUCUCAAAAAACCCUAGCCCCCUUUCUCCCAAAAAACACUCUUAGAGCCUUUUCCACCUUGAGGGGGGAAGAAGCCAUUGUUCUUCCCCCCUCUCCUCUCUUCUCUUCCUCUCUUCCUCCUUUCACCUCUUCCCUCAUUUUCAAAGACAAAGGGUUUUCCCUAUUUGUCUUAGUUUUGUUAUGAUUUUCAUUUAACCAUUAUUGGCGGCUGCGGCUCAGCGUCGGAUCUUCACCUGCAUUUCGGCGUCAGAUCUCCACCACCAUCUUUUUUGCAAUUUCUUUAUGUUUGGAAUAAGUUAUAGAGACUCUUUGGGUUCUCUGUGUAGUUUUCACCUCUCCUUUUGUGAGAGUUUUUCAUCUCUCCUUUGUAAGAGCUUUUCAUCUCUCCUUGGUGAGAGUUUUAUUUGUAUUGUUAUGGCUUGGUUUUUUCAAGCUUUAUCUCUUUUUUAUUAUUCUAAGUUUGCAAUCUUAGUUGGGAUGCCUAUGCCAGAGUUUCUUCGAUCUUGCAUGAUCGUUGGUGGAGACAUACCUGAUUUUCUUAAUUUUGAUAUUAGACCGCUCCGUUAUUGUAAUGGCCCUUUUGUGGCUAGUUUGUAUUGACUGUUUGUGACUAAUGACUUUUUGGCUGAAUUAUGAAUGCAAUCAUAGAAUUUCUCAAAAAAAAAAGAAAAAGAAAAAAAGAAUAGGUUGAAUGUCUCUCUAUGCAUGCUAAAGUGACUGGUAUUAGUUUGCUUUAGACUGGUUGUUUACCCACCGGGUCCACAAAUUGCCAAUUGUGAAUUGACCACAUGCAAUGUUGGCUUUUCAAUUGGAAUGAAUAUUCCUAUAUAAUAAUGGUUUUAUACUGUGCAUGAUAUGGUGAUGAACUAGUAAAUUGGCUUAUAAAUGAAUCCAGGACAACGACUAGGCAAAUUUGCAUCUAAUGUAGCAUUAUGCAUUGUCUUGCUGCAAAAAAUGGAUGGAUCAUUUAUAGAUGCUUUGAUUUCCAUCUUUUCAUGGUCUGCAUCAUGGGUUCAUGUACGAAUAUCAAUAUCAAUAUGAUUUAGAUGUCAGCUUGUGCAUCAAUAUUAAAUUUACCGAUUCCCACUAUGCCAAUUUUGAUAUAUCUUUGUAUUGGAUUCCAUUUUGGAAUAUAUAUAUAUAUAUAUAUAUAUCAAAUCUUAUGAAAGAGUAUAUGAGUUUGAAUUUGCUACAUCUUCUUCAAACUUAAUUUAGUUUUUAGGCUGUUAUGAGGCAAUUGCUAAUUAAUGAAAUCAUGACCGCUUAUGAACUUAUAAUACGAUCUUAGUGUAGGCACGUACCGUGAAUUUAAGUUUAUACUUAGUUCAUGCUCUUCCUAAAGAUUAGCCAACACCUCAUUUACUUCAUCUAAAUCACUAGGUCUUGAGUUUGAACUACUCGGAUUAGCUGAACUCCGCAUUGAUAAUUUUCUCUUAAGUCAACAAUUGGGUUUCACUAAGUAUUUCUAGGACCAUGGAUGACAACUUAAUUUUCUUCAUGUCCCCAUUCCAGGAAGAAUUUCACCACUUCUACAACGGGGAACUCGUCUCAUAAGUCAACCCGAGAAUCAGCGAAUAGAAGAUGCUCAGCUCCGCACAACAUAGGGAUUAGCACGCUUUCGGGAAGAACAUAGAAUAGUAAAGGAUCCAACAUGCGGAACACGGCGAUCAUUAGAAAUUCACGAAUUAGAGAUGCUGUAAUAUACUCUUACCCUUUUGGCCACAGGACCACUGGUGGUAGUCACCCGUCCACCCUUUUCUUUUAUUUAACACACCAUGUCCAUCGCCAUCAUUCUCUACAUCACCAUUCAUGGAGAUAAUCUUUUUUCUGACAAGAAUUUUAAAGGAAGUUAAGCAGAGCAUUCACGUCACCCUUCGUAUUUUAUUUCCCAGCUCGAAAAUGAUGUUCACCUCUAACUAAGGAAUUAAAGUGCCGGAUUUUUCCCUCUCCACCAAGUAAAAUGGUGGACCGAUUGUAUAGCCAAUGAAUAUCCCAUUGAAGUAAACCAAAAGUCUAUGACUUGAGAGGAUGAGAAAUCUUUGCGGAGAACAAUCCGCCCAACCUCUUAUGCUUCCAUUUUUUUACUUCGUUUUCUCCAAAGCCCCAAAUCAAGAAACCCUAAUUUCGCCCUAACACUUUCUCUCUCUUUGACACCUUUUUUUAAAUAUAUAAUACUAGUCACUUCACACGCUUAUCUACGCUUACGAGAGGCUUUUUUAUUAAAAAUUUAUUUUUUUAAUAUGAAAAAAUGUGAAUUUACUAUAUUAUUUUUAUUUAAUUAAUAAUUUCAAUUCUUAAUAUUUACAUUAACCAAUAGCAUUUUUUUGUAUUUUAAAUAUUUCACCAUUUUAUGCGUUUUGCUUUAUAUAUAUAAAUAGAUUAAACUUAUUUGAGAAACUAUAAAUAUAGUAGAGCAAAAUGAAAAUAUUGUCUAAAAUUAUAUUUUUAGGGACAAAAAAAUUAACUUUUAAGCCAAACUUUGCAAAAGGUAGAUACGAUCAUAGAAUGGGAGAUGGGACGUCAACGAUUUUUAUGCAUGUGAGUGGUGCAAAGCGAAACACAAGGCUCCAAAUCACUUCAUAAAAACGCCAACUAAAGUCUCCGGCUUUUGAAUGGUGAUGCUCCACGACCCAGACAUAUUGACAUGGUGUGGUCCACAUUUCACAUCCACUUGUACAAUUGGUACAAACAAUCACCUCCCUCUCGUGAAUUUGUCAAAAAGAUUAAUCACAAGAUUUUGUCCAACAUACAAAACCACUUACUUUACAAUUCUUUUCCAACAUUUCGUUUUAAAUUUGUAAUUAAAAUAGAAAGAAAAAAAACCAAUAAGUGAGAAGUGAGAAAAGAAAAAGGAAGAAAUGAAGGAUAAUAGAUGAAACAAGUUGCGGAGCAAGUAUUCUUCGUAUGCAGGGGUUAAAAUUUCAAAAUUACUUCCGUAUAGGUUUUUCAUCUUCAAUUGAGAGGAUCAGCACUAAUUUAAUUUCAAUAAUUGUAUUGGUAUAUUAUAUAUUUUAUAAUAUAUUACAAGAGAUUAAAAAUUAAAUUGGGGGGCCAGGGCCAUGGCAAGCCUUGCUGUGGCUCCACCACUAGAUGAAACAAUACUUAUAUAAGAGAAAAAAUAUUAGAAGAAAAAAAAUAUUUUUAAUUUUGUGUAGCAUUCAAUUACAUCGCUUUCCUCUACCUAUUUUGAACUAGAAAAGAAAAGUUGAAAACUAAGAAUAAAAAUUAUACUAAUUAAAUGUAUACCUUCUAAUUUAGAGAUUUGUUAAGAGUAUAUGUAGAAACAUAAAAGCUAUGUUUUCAUAACAUUAAAUUUUUUAGUUUGAUGGGGGCCUUUCGUAAAGACGAAGAUCAAUGAAAAAUGUAGUUAGCAUUCCCUUUUUGUAAAGAAUACAUACGUACACAAACUUAUAAAGUUCAUGUUUAAGUAAAAAACAUGUCACAUUCAAAAGUGUGACUUUGCGGUCUCCACAACAUUCAUGGCGGUCACAUGCUGUGAUUCCAUGGAAUGGAAGGAGACGCAUAAGCUGUUUCUUGGUGAGUUCAAAGUAUGUAGCAGUUGGCCGUGGCAUAGCACAUAUGACUUUAAUGUGCACAAGUACAGCCUGAAAUUCCCACUUUUUACAGAAGCAGUUUGUUAAAUUUAACGACUUUUAACCAGAGCAGUCUGCAAAACUUCUAGCCGACAAUUGAAUAAGAGAAUGAUUAAUUUAUUAUCAUCAUCUAACAAAUCAAGCUAUUAACUAUUUUACUUUCAACGCAGGGCAGGACAGUACUAUGAGGAGGGACAGGAUGCAGAAAUAAAUAAAGUAUUUCAAACUUCUUAAUUUGUUUUUAGUUUUCCAUUUUUAUUUUGUGUAGCAUUCCAUUACAUUUUUUUCUUCUCCAUAUUCUAGUCAUUCCUUUUCCGUUCUCCUUCCUCUUGCCUUCUUUCUCUAAUACAUUUCUAUUCUAUUUUUACCAAAAAACAAAAAAAAAACAAAAAAAGUAAAAAGUAAAAGCAUAGCAGAAAAUUUCAUUCACAAUAUUAAUGUUUUAGUACGCUAAGAGAGCACUUUCAUUCCAUUAUGUCAUGGCAAAAGGUAAGGGCAAGUCAGGGCAAACAUUAUUAAGGUGAAUAGUGACUGUCCUAGUAAUUUUUUAAUGCAUUCCCACCUAUUGCCAUGGCAACCCAAAAGCAACCACUAUUUACAUGAGAUAUGAGGAGAGGAAUUUGUACGUAUUUUUGUGUGGGAAUUGAAGAAUAUGACUAGGUAUUUAUAGAAAAAAAAAAUUAUGAAUUUUUUGGUUUUUUUAUAAAAAAAAUUGGUAUUUAAAUUGAUCGAUGAUGUCACGCUAACGUCAACUUGUCCAGACAAGUCUUGCAUUAUGGUUUGCCCAAUUUGGUGGGCCCACUUACCAUGUCAACUUUUACUUUGUAGGGGUUGUUUUUGAAACCUAGAGCUCCUUUUGCCAUGAUAAAAAAGAAUAAGUAGAAGUGCUCUAAGAGGCUUUUGCUAGGUGUGAUGUUUUAUUUUGUGCUACUAAUAAAGGCAUUUGUAAAUUUUUGAUGGAACGGGAUUCCAAAUUCUUGAUCGAUUGCUUAAUAUCGGGGCAGGUUCCAUUUCUAGGUGAGUAUGGAUGAUCAUUAGAUACUUCAAAAAAAAAGUAUUUCAAUUAUUUAUUGUUUUGUCUACUGACAAAAUGAUUUAUUGAUUUGUCCUUGUGCUUUGCCUCAAAUUUCAAUUCGGAUUCAAUUUUGCUUAUGAAUUUGCAACUAAGUUAAUGUGCCCUCGUGUCCCACGUUCUCCCAUACCACAAUUUUUCGAAGUAAAAUGCUAAGUAGCUGACGUGACAUGAGCAUGAAAAUUGAUUGAGAUUUGCCGCGUUAUCCAACACCACUAUUUUUCAAAAAAAUAGCUAAGUUGCUGACAUGACAUGAGGAUGAAAAUUGAGAUUUGAAGCAAACUACAAGAGGCAAAACAAAUAAUAAAAUUCUUAAAACAACAUCUCGUUACUACGUAAGUGUUGUCAAAGAAAUUCUCCUAUGAUCGAGAGAAAGCAUCAUAGUUCUUCGUACAGAAUCAGAAACGUACUAUAGAUAUCAAAAUAGAUGCAGCCAAUCACUAAACUGCAAAACCAUUGAAAUACAUGCGAUGAAUCUUUGCUCUACUUGAAUACCACUUUUUGAAACCAAGUUUAACAAACUUUUUUAUUUUUGCCAAAGCGAGUGCAACUGGAUCAAGAUUAUGCUCUUUCCACAACAUAGCCAUAAUUUUAUAUAAAUGAAAAACACAGUGGUCCUGGUCCAUAUCCGUAAUACAAAAGAAAAAAGAUCUACAUGUCACAAAUUCGAUAUAUCGGUAUAUAUAAAAAGUAAUUAAUCAAACCCUAGGCUUGAUCUUAGCACUAAGCUUGUUCUUCAUCACCACAGUAAACUCCAACUUCCCGGCAAAAUCCAAUUUUUCACCAGCCGGAUAAGCACUCCACUCAAACUCUUGCACCAUCCUUGCCAGCAUUAGAUGAACAUGCACCGUAGCCAUGCCCAAACCCGGGCAUAUCCUUCUCCCCACGCCAAACGGCAUCAUUUUAAUCCCGGUCACUCCAGUUAUAUCCGCCUCCUCUCCACCCGAAACGAACCGAUCCGGAUUGAAUUUUUUCGGAUCGGACCACAGUUUCGGAUCCUCCGAAAUGGCGGGUAAGUACAACUCGACGUUCACUCCAGUUGGUAUAUCGUACCCCGCCAAGGUGGUGGGCUCAGUAACUGCAUGGGUUAAUGAAAAGUAGGUAGGAGGGUGUUUUCGUAAAAGCUCCUUCACCACAGCUUGCAAAUAAGGCAUUUUGUCCACAUCUUUCUCGUCCACUUUUCUAUCUCCCACACUCGCCUUAACUUCUCUGUAGAGCUUUUCUUGCACCUCAGGGUUGUCGAUGAGCUGUGCGAUUCCCCACUCUAUCGCUGUCGCCGUCGUGUCGGUUCCACCGUUUAAAAACUCUGAGCAAAGCGAGACCAAUUCGGCAUGCGACGGCGCCGAUUUUCGUCCGUCAACCUUGAGAUCAAACAGCGUGUCGAGGUACGAAAACGUCGUCGCUUGGGGAUCCGACCCCGGGUUUUCGAGCGCCCGACGACGUCUUUCGAUGAACGGGACGAUGUAGUCGAUCUGCUCGUUUCUCACUUCGAGAGCCCUCUUCCUUUGCUUGGAGAAAAACGGGCUUAAAAUCGGCAAAUAAUCGUCGAUUCUAGGGUCGAGUACGAUUAAAACCGCUUUCAUCAUCUGAUCCAUUUUCUCCACCGUCUCCUCGUCCAUCUCUAUCCCGAAACACAUUGCUAAGAGAAUGCAAAACACGGCGAAGCGUGCGGUUUUCAGAACCGAAACGACCCCGUCGUUGGCCUGGGCCUCAGCCUUAAUCCGCUCGAUCAGAGUGUUCAUGGCGUUUUCUCGAACACUUCGAAACUCCUUGAGGCGGGUCGAGCUGAGCAUGUUCUGGACCAUGUUCCGCCUCAGGGACCGCCACACGGGGCCAUAGAGUGAAGCGUUGACAGUGAACUUGUUGCAGCUGAAGAUGGUUCGGGUCGGGUUCUCACUGGGUCGGGUCGCGAAGACCACACCCUUCUCGAUCAAGGCUUCGUGGACGAGUUUGGCGUCGCUUAGAAUGAUCAUGGUUCGGGUACCCAUUCUGAGAGUGAAUAUCGGACCGUACUUGAGCCUCAGUUCGUCUGCGUAUUCGAUGAACGACUUCCCGGAGCGGGAAAAUUGGAAGAGGUUUCCAACAAUAGGCCAGCCCGGAGGUCCUGGAGGAAGAUUGAGGUGCUUGGAUUUGGAUUUCUGGGUGAGCAAGAAGAUCAGCCCGGAGAUGAGAAAUGCUAGAGCAGUGAAGAAGAGGUGGUAGUAGGGGGAGAGAGAAGCAGAGGAGAAAGAGAGGGUAGCCAUUGCUGAAGAGAAAGAGAGUGCAAUCUAUGUGUUUGUGUUUCUGCCUCUGAGAAGAUGGAGAGGUAAGGAAGUGUGGAGAUAUCAAGUGUUGGGAAGCGAGUGGUAUAAAAUGGGUAAAGCUUGAAAUUGCAGGUGGGAUCAAUAAAGGCUCGGACUUCCUACGGAGUAGUGUGGUUGGGUGGUGGGUGUACAUUGUUAAAUGCAAGCUCAAAAUUUUUGUACAGACUAAAGCUAGUGGAGGUAUAAAGAAGAGCAACUACUCCAUUAAUUUGAAAACCUAUUCUAUUUUAAUUUUUAUAAAAAAUAAAAAUAAUAAUAAUUACAUUUAGUAAUAAAUUAGUGCGGUGAUAGCAUGUGAAGUGUGGUCAGAAAAUGUAUGGCAAUUUGUAUGAAAAGAAAUUAAAUAUUUUCCCAAAAAUAAAAGGAUGCUUAUGAGACAGAGUAAAGGAUUUUGUUAAUGUGGCUCCAACUUCAAAAUAUUUAGAAAGCAUAGAAAAUAGAUACAAAUAAAUGAGUCAUAAAUACUUGUGAUAAUGGUUGAGUAGCGACUGUUGGUUUAUGAUGGAUGGACAAUAUUUAUGGAGCCGCUUCUAAACGGUGUCCUUUGAGUAUGGGGGAACUCAGGUUUUAGGAGUAUGUAUCUUUCUGUGGGUUUUAUACUAAAUUUGGUUUCCUUAGGCUUAGGCCAUGCCUAAUGGUUGGUGCUCGAAAAGAGAUUGACAGUGUCCCAUUUAGGGUAUCUCCAAUUAUAGUCCCUAAAUGGGACUCUGAAAAUGGUGGAUAGAGUCUCAUUUAGAGCUUCAAUGGAAUAUUCGAGCUUUAAAGGUAUCUUUUCCGCAAUGAGGGGCUCUAUAUGUAUAUAUUUUUUAAAUUAGGUAAUUUGGUUUAUGUGAUAAUUUUUGUUGUUGUUAACUCAUUUUGUUUUAAUGUAUGAUUAUGUAUGUUAGUGUUUUUUAAUGAACAUUUCUACCCGAAAGAAUCAAAAUUUGAACAAAAUUUCAAAAAUAAUAUUUUAUUUCAUGUACUUUGAAAGAAAAAACAAAUAAAUAUAAAGUCCUAAUAUUAAAAGAAAUUCUAAAUUCUAAAUUAAUAAGAUUAAACCUAUGUCAUUCUAGAAAUUGAAUUAGUAAUUUUAAGGUCAAUUAGAAAAAUUACACCAUAAACUCCUCCUGAAUUAAACAAAAAAAAUUUAACCAUUUUAGUCUAUCUAGUUAUUCAAGUCAAACCAACUUUUAUAUAUAUAUAUAUACAGAGAGCUUCCAUUGAGGGAUCCCUCAAAUAAGUAUUUGAGGGACACUCAUUGUAGGCCCCACUCUAGAUUUUAUUUCACUAAUCCAAACCGUCUAUUUUGUAGAUACUCAUUCAAAGAUCAUCUCUACAAAAAAUCAUUUGAAUCCGAUAUCAUUUGACCACUCAAUUAAGUUAUUGAAAUUUUAGCAUUUUCUUGAAGCACCGUGUUCAUUGAUUUUGUAAGACACAAUUGGAUGUCGAAACGGUUUCCGAUUUGUCUAAUUUUUUGUAAGGAUGAUCUAUGAAUGAAGACCUAAAAAAUAGAUAGUUUGGAUCAUUGAGAAAAAAAUUGUAGGGUACCCUAAAGGGCGUCCCUCAAAUAAAAUUAUUUGAGGGAUCCCUCAAUAGAAGGGGACUGUAUAUAUAUAUAUAUAUAUAUAUAUAUAUAAAAGCGUUGGGUUUCCUGAAAAAAUGCGAAAUUCAGUUAAGAUACAGUUUAAGGAAAGUUGUUUUACGAAUGAUAAAUCUCACUUGCAGAGACUGGGAGUGGGAGCACGCCCUUGAAGCACCCUUGCUGGAUUGGGCGAGUACGUGCUUGCAGAUGCGCUGGGAGAGUUGGACCAAACCUGAUGUGGCCGCUUCAGCUUUUAUUGGCAUGGGUCCACUCGGGCUGAAGGGGCUCUAUCCAAGUUCGUAGAUAAAGAGACAGCUCAGACGGAGCUUUACAACAUAGGGCCCAAAAUGCAUGCCACCGGGGAUGCCUUUUUGACAUUGGGCUCCAUAAAUAAAUAAAAUUUAAAAAAAGAAAAAAGAAAAAAAAGCCUCAUAGUGGUUGAGCCCCAUUUAGGGAUUUAAGGCUACCCUUGAUAAUUGAGGUUUUAAAUAUGGUGGAUAGAGCCCCAUUUAGAGCUCCGAUGGAAUAUUACAAGCUCUAAGGCCCCGUUUGGUUCACGGAAUGAAUUUGAGGGAAAAUCAUUUUCUGUAUCAUUUCUCACGUUUGGUAAUGCUGGAAAAGUAAUUGGGAGAUAGCACUUUAUUUCUUUUCCCAUGUUUGUUUUGAGUUGGAAUAGAAAACAAAGUUUGUAUAAAUUUUCAAUUAUAUCUAUAUUAAAUUAAAUAAAAAAAGAAUGCAUUUAAUAAUAUAUUGUAAUUCUAAAUUGUUAAUGAAGACAAAAUAAUCAUGAAAAAUAUGUAUUUAAUGUUGGUUCAUUUCCCCAAACUUCCCAUGAUGAGGGAAAACAAAACCCAAGUUGGGAGAAUGGCUUCACUUUCCCCCCUACUUUCCUAUAUGCUAGGCAACGAUUUCUCAUGCCUAGGCUUACUAAACAUGGGAAAGUAAUUGAUUUCCCAUCCUCAAGUCUCCUUUCCCAUGAACCAAACGGGGCCUAAAAGUAUAUUUCUCACAAUGGGGGACUCUAUAUCCGGGGCUCUAUAAGUAUUUUAUCUAUAUAUAUAAAGCAAAAGGCAGAGAAUGGUGAAACAUUCAAAAUACCAGAAAAUGCCCUUGGUUAAUGCAAACAUUAAGAAUUCAAAUUAUUAAUUAAAUGAGGAUAAUAUGGUAAAUUCAUACUUUUUCAUAUUUAAAAAAAUUAAAAGAAAAAGAAAAAGCUGAUAAUGUAUCCUAUUUUUAUGGAACACAACUACCCAUUAUCUUUUUUAAUUCUAAAAUAAAUUUACUAAUUUUUUUUAAAAAACCUCUCGCAAGCGCGGAAGCGCGUGCAGAGAGGCUAGUUAUUAUUUAUGUAAUUUAUUCUACACAUUAAUUUUUGUUGUUGUUAACUUAUUUUGCUUUAAUGUAUGUUUAUGUCAUAUGAGUUUUUUACGAGCAUUUCUACCAAAAAAAAAAAUCAAAAUUUGGAAACGAUUAAAAUGACAAAAUUUGAAAGUAAACACAAUAAAAUAUAAAGUCCUAAUGUUUCAAAUUUGUAUUUAAAAGGAGCAAGCAUAUUUAAAUCUAGAAACAUAGAACAAUUGAAGUGUGUCUAUGAAAGAAAAAAAAAUGAAAACAAAGAUGAAAAAAAAAAGAAGAAGAAUGAAACAGUAAACAUAAGGGGGGGGGGGGGGGGGAGGGGAGGAAAGAACCGUUGCAACUGAAAAAGUAAUUUUUUUUUCAAUAUGUAGGGCCCGCUGAUUUUUCAUGCUUUUGCAGGUUCAGUUUUUCAAAAUGCGGGACCUGCUAGGGCUCUAAGGCUCUAUACAAGUUCACAGAUUUAGGAUUAUCUCCAGUCAGUUUUAUUAUAUAGAGCCCAAAAAUUCUCCCACUAGGGAUGCUAUUUUGCACUUGGGCUCUAUAUUUAUGAGCCUCAAGGAGGUAGAGCCCAAUUUAAGGCCCCAUUAGGGAUGGCCUAAUUGAGGAUGACCUUAGAGCUCCGAUGGAAUAUUUGGAACUCUAAAGGCAUCUCUUCCAUAAUGGGAGGCCUUAUAUUCAUAGUGGAUUAUAUAUUUUUUUUUUAUGAUGUAAUUUGUUUUACAUGCUAUUUUUUUUUUUAUAACUAUUUUACUUUAAAUGUUUGUUCAUGUUAUGUUAGUUUUAUUUAUUUUAUUUUUUUGGCGAACAUUUCAACCAAAAAAUUCAAAAUUUUGACAAGGUUUGGAAACCAACAUUUUAUUUCAUAGAUACAAUACAACGACAUGGUUAAAUUAAAACAAGAUGCACAAUAUUAAUUUGGUGUCCUCCCAAUGCUUUGAUUAUUUGUAAUGCGGCCACAUGCUCUAUGUGAUCCCAAUUGACUGGCCCUAUAAUUGCUAAUUUUACGUAUGCUUGGAAGAGUUCAAAUCCUUCAUUAAAGCCAUCGGGAAGAUAGACUUGCAUCCUUGAAAUAAAACAAACUACAACAUCUUUAAAUAAAACAAACUACAACAAUAUUCUAGAAAUAAUCAUUUUCUGGGGGUUGGGGAUGAUAGACUUCAUCCUCGAAGUCUAGCGAAUGAGAAGAACUCUACGCAAUAAUAUCGACUUGUGUUUGCAGGCAAUGGUCAAAUUUUUCAAAAAGUUUUAAAAAUUGGUGAGCAAGUAUAUCAAAAUGCACGAGUAUGAUAUUGUUGAGUUGCAAGGCAAGUGAGGGACACAACAGUUGGGCUGUCAGCUUUUUCUCCAUGCGGGCUCCAUUGAGUUUCAGGGGCUUCAACCAAGCACACACAUUUGGGUUUAGGUCUAGUUGGGCUCAACCUUUUUAAAGCCUUACAGCAUUGAAUCAUUCCUCAAUCAAUUUCUCGCAAAUUGAAACACUCACUAGAUUAAACUUCAAAAGAUGAAAGUUUGAUUUGAAAGAUAUUCUCGGAAUGAAUGAUAUCGAUUUUGAUCUCAUUCAUGAUUAUAUUUAAUUCAAGCUAGCUGUUUUGUUUAUGUAUCUUGUAGUAUGACUCCAAAAUCUUAGGAAAAAAGACGCAUUUGGCAUUUAAAAUGUGCCACUCGUGUUAACUUAUCACGCAUGGAAUUCUAGUGUAACACCCCGACUCCAAAUUAAAUGUUUAUUUUAAUCGAUUUAAAUAAAAUUACGAAUUUACCCUUGGGGGUAGGGGUAAAUUGGUCACUUUCUUCUUCGGAAGGAUUUUGGGACCACGAAUGGUAUUUCUAGGUAGAUGGUACUGAGACGAAUUCGUAGACAUGAGGUAGGCUUGAAUCGGAGUUGUAACGGGAAAGUUACGGGCAAAAUAGUAUCAGUGGCAAAACUGUAAAUAAUUCAAAAAGGGAUAGAGUAAAAAUCAGAUUUUCACCUCAGUCUCUCUCUCUCCUGUCACGCGCUCGACACUCUCUCUCUCCUCAGUCUCUCUCUCUCCCCGACGUCCGCUCUCUCUCUCCUCAGUUCUCUCAGCUCCGGCCACGGCAGGACCCGAGACCGGUCCCGAUCGACUCGCCUCGCCGCCUCGAUCAAGACCUGCUCGUUUUCCCCGUCGAAAACUAUGAAAUCCGGCCUCGAGCUCGACGGUUUUGAACCGGAGCUUUCACGCCGUCGCGCCGCCGCCUCCGCCGCCCAAACCCGGUGAGUGAGGUAUGGUUUCUCAUCCAUUUUUCGAGUUCUAGCUGAUGGUGGUAUAGGUUUGGAUUGAUUUGUUGGGUAGGAAUUGAUUUUGAAAACCUAGAUUUUGGCCGAAUUUCAAAAUGAAAUUCCGGCCAGUUGCCGCCCGAAUUGGGCCUUCCCGUAGUUGAAUGAAGUGAUCCUGACCUCGAGUAGAAGCUAGGGUAGGAAGGGUGAGCUCGGGUGUGGAGUUUUUCCGUCGUCGGAAUUACUCUACACACCCACGUGCUGCCGGCGCGUGUGGCGGCGCGUGGGCGAGGCUGGUGAGGCUGUAAAUUAACCCGAUAAGAUCCUUAGGUUGUCACGAGCGCAUAGGAAUUCGCAGAUCUCAAUUCGGAUGUCGUUUGACUAUCGAACGGAUUUUCGCAUAUUGUGCGUUAUCCGGGUUCGAUAGGUUCCGACCGUUAGAUCUUUCCCGAAUUAAAAUAUGUUGUUCUAGGUAUUCCUAGGACCGUAUGGGACUUCACGAAUUCUGAAUCGGAGCCCCGAAUGUUCCGAUUCAAUAAUGCAAAGUUUGCGGUAAGCGAUAACCGUAAAAUCGUGAACGAUUCCUAAACCUGUAAUCGGACCUUAGGAUACGUUCUGCAACGUGCACGUAUGGGGAAUUUGGGGAUUUAAGCAUUUAAUUUGUGAUUUCCGCUUUGACGUAAUUUUAUAUUAAUUAUCGGUUCGUAUCUCGAAAUAGGUGUUUCGACUGCACGUACGCAGCAAGCAGGACCCUCACGUGGUCAGGCAGCGAGGGAAUACUUGUGAGUGGACUUUGUUUUCAAUCAUAUGUAUGGUUUUAAUUGAUGAAAGUUUUUGCAUAAUGUUUUAAUGGCUUAUGGAUAUAUAUAUAUAUAUAUUAUGUUCAUGAGUUGAGUUUGAUGGUCGUAUAGCACUUGGCAAUAUAUUGUGAGUUUGGCAUUUUGGGUUUUUGAGAGUGCAUUCUAUAUGGAUUGUGGGAAAGUAUAUUUAUAUAAUCUCUAUAGAUGAGAUACUUGGGUUGUUAGAGGGUGAUGUGGAAGAAUGUGAUUUUGGAGAGAAGUUGUGUGAUUACACUACGUAAGUACCUUCCCCAGUUACUAGUCUCACUCGCGGCGUUGGAUGUUCCGGCAUGUGAGACACUUUCCAUAUGCGGCGUUGGAUGUUCCGGCAUGUGAGACACUUUCCAUAUGCGGCGUUGGAUGUUCCGGCGUAUGGAAAGACUCUGUAUAAUGUUUAGGGUCAUCACCAUGGCGUUGGAUGUUCCGGUGUGUGAUGACCCAGUCUGCGCGCGUAGGACAUAGUUUGGAAGCUACACAUGGUGUUGGAUGUUCCGGUGUGGGAGCUUUGGAGUUUCGUCCCCUGGUUGGACCGCUCAUCCCUAGACGCAGGAUACACUACUACAAAAAGUGAAAAAGACGACCAGCAAACAACGACGGUCUAAGUGAAAACCGUCGUGGUUUAUAAAAAGACGACGGUUCUAAAAACACCGUCGUGUAAUACAACCUUAGACAACUAAAAAAUGGAGUUUCAAAUGGCUGUUCAAAAACAACGACGUACAUAAUUAAACAACCGACGUCUAUUUGAAACAGAUUUCCGCAGUGUAAAAUCAAUGCCAACAAAGAACGGCAGAAGUUAUGAAUCGACCGACGUAGAAAGUAAAGACGACGAUUUCAAUAAAAACUGCCGUUUUUACUCAUAAAAUAACACGACGAGGUUUUCGUAUAAGACGCCGUAUAAUUACAAACAAAUCCACGGCUUUAAAAUACAAAAUAUCGCCGUAUUAAAUUAAUUUACAACGACGAAAAAUAUAAAUAUAUCGACGUCAUUCUCGUAUAGUUCUACGACGUUAUCUUUAAAUCGUACAAUAAAAUUUAACGUCGUAUUUAUUCAUUUUAUACGUCGUACCUUUAAUUUUAACGGUCGUCUUAAUAAGAAUUUUUGUUAACAAUUUUUUUCUUUGAUUUUCUUAUCCUACGUCAGUAGAUCUACUUAAUGACAAGAAUUGAAAUAACCACGACGGUUUAUAUAGAACACCGCCGACAUAAUCAGAUUUGUCUGAGAUCCCAAGGGUUACGAAAUCUUACCAGAUGGAACUCUGUUCCACAUCAUAAUCUUAACAGAUGACACAGAUUUGCAAAUAUUGCGUCGUGUUAGUUUACAAAUUCUAGAACAUUAAUUUCCCUCAUUUUAAAUUUCCUCGGGAAAGAAAAAUCUAUUUAUCACGCUUUGGAAUUGAAAACUAAAACUGAAAGAAUACGGGAAAAAAAACUCUAUUUAUAAUUUAAAAUUAAAAUCCACGUCGGUUGUAGUACACUUAACGACGUUUAACAAAAUAAUCUACGUCGGUAAUUAUAAAUCUACCGCCAUCUUAACUUAAUAUAGACGACGAGAAAAGACGACGGUAGAACAGAAAACCGCCGUUGUUUCAGUUUCUUUAACAUAUCUUUCUGCAGGACUUGUAUAGUUCAAAGCAUUGACAAUGUCUUCAUCAUAUCUCCCAGAAACUACUGAUUCAAUUGCUCAUGCUUUAGAGGCCAUCUGAAGCCAUUUCUAUUCUUUAUCGCAUUCUUGAAACCCAUCUUCUUCUUCUGAAGCUCUACGGAUAAAGGAAGAGGCUAUCACAAAUCCGACGGAUCUUCUUAGGCAAGAAAAUCAAGCAGAGGAUCAGGCACAUCUGAUCUUCAGAUUUCCCUGAGAAGCGAACUUUCCUUCGACAGCGAGUGGAGGCCAGGCUUGCAUCUCUUUUGAUGGAAAGCAAGGAGUAUUCAGAAGCACUAAGUGUCCUAUCAGGCUUGAUCAAGGAAGUGAGAAGGCUAGUUGACAAGCUUCUUCUUGUGGACAUAUAUUUGAUGCGAGUAAGCUCAAUUUCUCUUUGAGAAAACAUCCAAAUUAUUGUCUUUGAGACAUGAGAGACUGAGAGAGGAAGAACUUGGAACCUUAAAUGUAAACCGAAAAUGAAUGAAAGCGACAAAUUUAUAGAAUAAAUUUUUAAAACCAACGGCGGUCCUUACAAAAAAACCGCCGUUUAAAUUGUAAAAUCAACGUCGGUAUGAUCGACGUAUAUUACAGAAAUCCACGUCGGUAAAUUAAUAAAAACGACGUGUUAAAUAAUCUACCAUGACGCGAGUUAUUACUUAUGUACUUUAAUUUUUGAGUUUACUACGACGGUACCUACAAACUACUGUCGUAUUUAUUUACUACGUCCGAAGUUAAAUGUACCGUCGUAUUUUGUAAUUUAUACGUCGUAGUUAUAUGUAACCGCCGUAUUAUUUUUUUGAAAUGGUUUUAUAUGUAAGCAACUUUUCGUCUACUUGACUUACACAUUUGUUGUUUUUAUAUUCUUAUUUUAUUUAAAUCUGUCAUCCAAAAAAGAAACUUUACAUAUUGCAGAAUAUUAAUUUCCUUCGUUUUAAAUUUCCUCCGGAAAAAAAACUCUAUUUAUAACGCACUGUAAUUGAAAAAUAAACUGAAAGGUCACGGGAAAAAAUAUUCUAUUCAUAAUUUAAAAAUUAAAAUCCACGUCGGUUAUAUUAAACCUAACGACGUUAAAUGAAAUGAUUCCACGUCGAACGAAAAAUAUUGCGUCGUGUUAGUUAAAAACGACGUAGUUAAAUGUAACCGCCGUAUUAUUUUUUUGAAAUGGUUUUAUAUGUAAGCAACUUUUCGACUUACACAUGCACUGUUUCCAAACCCGAUUAAAAAUUUCAAUCUCCCAGAGAAACCUUUUCGUCUUUUUUCCUUGUCAGAGCAUUGUCAGAGUUUCUCAUCGUCUUCCUCUCGUCUUCUUCGUCGUCUCUGAACUUAAACAUCGAUCAUCUUCCUCUUGCUUUCAUUGCACGCAAAAGGUAAGCUUUCAUUUUCACUAUUUUGGUUACUGUUUUGCAUGCUCAUACGUUUUUUGUUUGAAAAAUCUUUUUACCUUUUUUCUGGCCAAAAUCAUUUUACUUCUUUCCAAGUUUGAUAAAAUAUACAGACAAAGAGGGAAAGUUUCCAACUUUGAAGACAACUACCUCAACUAAAUAAGACGACGGUAGACCACGACGGUUCGUCAGUUGUUCUAGCGUCGUCUGAAAAUUGACAAAGUUGUUUUUAAAAUAAUAGUCUUUUUUUAUAUGCUUGUUUAAUUGCAGGUUUGAUUUCUCUGAACAAUGAUUUUUGUUUUUCCCUUAUUUGAUAAAAUAUAAAGAAAAAGAAACUAGGGUUGGUAUCUAAUAUAGACGACAAAAUAUCUUAUUGUUUUACGUCGUGUGAAUGUUAAUACCACGACGGUGUAUUACUAUUGACGUCGUAUGGACAUAAAUACCACGACGUUAUAUAAAUAAUAGUUUACCACGACGGUGUAUUACUUCUUUCCAAGUCUGGGCCUUCCUUUGCUCAAACCAACAUUGUAAAACUUAUCAAUUCAGGCGUGGUUGGAUGGACGUUGUGCGUGACAAUCAUUUGGAAGUUGGUGAUCUGUGUCUUUUUGUGUUGAUUUCCAGCAAAAGUACACCUUUAUUUGAUCUUGUCAUUUUCCGCUCUGGAGAAGGUGCAAAGUGCACCAAUGAUGGGGAGUAAAUAGUACCUACGAAGGAAGAAACUGAUAAUGAAGAUGGAGAUUCGAGUGAUGAUUCUAGUAACGAUUCGAGUUAUAUUAGGUUGUUUUGUUAAAGGGUUUUAUGUGUAUGCUUUGCGAUCUGUUAAUAAUGUGCUUAUAGGUAUGGGUUCAUGGAUUUUCUGUUUAAUGGGUUCAUGGAUUACAUUAUCUGUUAUGUUGAAUUGGGAAUGGAUUUAAUUUUGUCGUAUCUUUUAAUCACCCUAUGUUAUGUUGAAUUGGGAAUGGAUUUAUUGUUUUCAUGCUUGGUUUCAUGUAUAUGUUGGUUUCUUGCUUGGUUUCAUAUAUAUGUUGUGUUCUUAAUGGGUUUUGUGUUCUUGAAAAUAAACUGAGACACGAUGAAUUUUAAGGCGUACGACGACGAUUACACGAUGGUUUUUUUAAACUACCGUCGUUGUAUUACUUAUACACGACGGUUUUUUCAUAAACCGUCGUUUGUAUUACUUAUAAUAGACGACGUCUGUUGAAAAUCCGUCGUCUAUAUAUGCCAAAUACGUCUGUUUUUGUUUAAAACCCGUCGUCUCUGUUGUGUAUUACUUGCGAUUAGAUCAUUGUAUAAUCUGCUAUAGUGAUGGUCAUUGCCUGUAUUUUCACUUUAUUAUAGAUAAUAGGUUAUAGUGUCGGAGAUGGAUAAGUCAUGGAUGCACUCGGAUAGAAGAUCGAAGGCAUAUGAAUUUGGGGUGGAAGCAUUUUUGAACUUUGCUGUAGAAAAUCUUCUAACUACAGUACAUAUCCGUUGUCCAUGUGUUAAAUGUGUUAAUUUGAAGUUGUUUGGGGUUGGAAUUAUAAGGGAUCACUUAUACUUUAAUGGAAUUGACCAAAGCUAUAAGAAUUGGACAUUUCACGGAGAACCUUGGGAAGCAACUACUAAUGCUAGUAGAAAUGUUGAAGAAGAUGAUGGCCAUAGUAGGUACAGUUUUGUGUCUGAAGAAAUUGAUAUGGAUGAUAAUGAUUUUGGUUCGGAUCCGUAUGAGUUUGCCAAUGUGAUUGGGGAUGGAGAUCAACCAGUGUACCCUGGUUGUAGAAAGUACACGAAGUUAUCGGCAUUAGUGAAGUUGUAUAAUUUGAAGGCAAAACAUGGGAUGAGUGAUGUCUGUUUUACAGAAUUAUUGAUACUUCAAGGCGAUUUGCUUCCAGAAGGAAAUACAAUACCAACAUCCAUGUAUGAGGCUAAAAAGACUUUGUGUGCAUUGGGGCUGAGUUAUGAGAAAAUGCACGCAUGCCCCAAUGAUUGCAUCUUGUAUAGGAAGGAGUAUGAGGAUUCAACUAAUUGUCCUACUUGUGGUAUCUCAAGGUGGAAGGAAGGCAAAGAUUCAAUCUUGAAAGAGGGUGUGCCAGCGAAGGUGGUGUGGUAUUUUCCCCCAAUUCCAAGGUUUAAAAGGAUGUUUCAAUCACAUGAGACAGCUAAGAGUUUGACUUGGUGGCAUGCUGCUAGAAAAUCAAUUGACGGUCAGAUGUCUCAUCCGGCGGAUUCCCCGUCUUGGAAACUUCUUGAUGAUAAAUGGCCUGAGUUUGGUAAUGAGCCGAGAAACUUGAGAUUGGCUCUUUCAUCUGAUGGAUUCAAUCCCCACAGUUCUCUAAGUAGCAGAUAUAGUUGUUGGCCGGUUAUCUUAGUUACAUAUAAUCUCCCUCCAUGGCUGUGCAUGAAACGAAAGUUCAUGAUGUUAACCUUAUUGAUUUCCGGUCCUAAACAACCCGAAAAUGAUAUAGACGUCUACUUGGAGCCUUUGAUUGAUGAUUUAAAAUCCUUGUGGGUUGGGAUUAGAGGAGUGUAUGAUGCACAUAAUGGAGAAUACUUUACACUCAGAGCUGCAUUAAUGUGGACAAUUAAUGAUUUCCCCGCCUAUGGAAACUUAUCUGGUUGUGUUGUUAAAGGAUAUAAAGCUUGUCCAAUAUGCGGCGAUGAUACACCUAGUCACAGGUUGAAAAAUGGCCACAAAAUUUGUUACAUUGGGCAUAGAAAAUGGUUACCAAUCAAUCAUCCAUAUAGGAGGCAACGUGCAGCUUUUAAUGGGAAACCUGAAUAUGGCAUACCUCCCGAGCCAUUAACCGGAGAAGAAGUGCUGCAUAUGGUUGAAAAUGGUGACAGAGUUUGUUGGAAGAAGAAAUCAAUAUUCUUUGAUCUCGAGUAUUGGAAAUACCUUCCUGUGAGGCAUGCCCUAGAUGUUAUGCACAUUGAGAAGAAUGUUUGCGAUAGUAUCAUUGGUACAUUGCUGGAGAUCCCUGGAAAAAAUAAAGAUGGGAUUGCUGCUCGAUUAGAUUUAUUGAACAUGGGGGGUCAAAACUGAUUUGCAACCCGAGUAUGGAGAAAGACGUACUCGUUUGCCUCCUGGGCCUUGGAAUUUGUCAAGAGCAGAGAAGAGAGAGGUUUGCAAUUCUUUCUAUGGUAUGAAGGUCCCUGAAGGUUAUUCUUCAAAUAUUAAAAAUCUUGUAUCUUUACAAGAUUCAAGACUUCUUGGCCUUAAAUCACAUGAUUGUCAUACCUUAAUGCAACAAUUGCUCCCUGUGGCAAUUCGUUCUGUUUUGGAGAAGCCUGCAAGGUAUGCAAUAACUCGUUUGUGCUUCUUCUUCAAUGCUAUAUGUGCAAAGACUGUUGAUGUUUCCAAGCUAGAUAAGUUGGAAGAAGAUGUAGUAGUUACUCUGUGUUUGCUUGAGAAGUACUUUCCCCCUUCAUUCUUUGAUAUCAUGGUUCAUCUAGUAGUACAUCUUGUCAGAGAAGUUCGUCUAUGUGGGCCAGUAUAUUUUAGGUGGAUGUAUCCGUUUGAAAGAUAUAUGAAAGUGCUGAAGGGGUAUGUUCAGAAUCGUACUCGUCCCGAAGGUUGCAUUGCUGAGCGGUAUAUAGCUGAAGAAGCGGUAGAGUGUUGUACUCAGCAUUUAUCUGAUGUUAGUACAGUUGGAGUGCCUUCAAGCCAAAAGAUGGGACUUUCAAAGCCAUUAUCAGGUUGCACAGUGAGCGUAGUUGAUCAGGACCUGUUGAAUCAAGCACAUCUAUAUGUCUUGGAGAAUACGGAGGAAGUCCUACCUUAUAUCGAGUACGUAUGAGCUUUAUUCUUUAAGUUUCCAUUUUAAAUUAUUUCUUAUGUUUAUCUUCUAUAUUUAGGACCGUAAUGCUUGAAUUUUUCGUGUCAUGUAGGCAACAUAUGAUUCACAUCAAGACUGCUUAUCCAAAAUUUAGAAAGAGAACAAAGUGGCUGCAGGAUAAGCACAAUAGCACUUUCAUUCAAUGGCUACGCUUCAAGGUAUAUAUUGUUGAAUAACAUAUUUCUCUUUUAAUUUUCUUCUUAUUUAUAUGUUAGAUUGAAUUAAGAUAUGAUUAAUUUGCAGGUUCAAAGUGAACUUGAGGAAGACAAUCAUGGCGUAUCAGAAAAUUUAAGGUGGCUAGCAGCUGGUCCAAACAUGUCAGUGCCAUUAUAUAGGAGCUAUCUUAUUCAAGGUAUUAAAUUCAAUAUCAAGGCACAAGAUGAUGUGCGGACAACUCAAAAUAGUGGAGUUUAUUUACUUGCACAUACCAUGCAAGUUGCUAGUGCCAAGGAUAAAAACCCAAUUCUCUCAAAUAUGGGUUUCUAUGGUGUCAUUCAAGAAAUUUGGGACCUUGACUACCAAAAGUUUACAAUCCCAGUCUUUAGGUGUGAUUGGAUUGAUAGUUCUGGUCUUGUAGUCGACGAACUUGGAUUUACCCUUGUAGAUUUGAGUAAAAUUGGACAUAGGAAUGACCAAUUUGUUUUGGCUUCUCAAGUCAAACAAAUAUUUUUUGUUGACGACCCGAUGCAUCGUGGUUGGUCGGUAGUGUUAUCAAUGCCUAAUAGAGAAUAUAAUGAUGUUAUUGGUGAUGAAGUCUUAGGUGAUGUGAUAAUUGAGUGUGAGCCAUUUACUAGAGGGAUGCCAAAUGUUGACACAUUUGAUGAACUGGUGGGUGAGUUAGGCGGUCAAAAUAUUCGAGAUGGGUGUGAAGAUAUAUGGAUUGAAUGAUGCUUAUGUAAUUGGCAGUGUAUGACAUUAAUUUUGUAACAUAUUGUAAUGUGAUUUCUUCACUUUCUACGUUCAAAUAAAACACGACGUUAUUGUGAACCAGUUAUUCAGCAUAUUUACCGACGUCUUAAAGCAACGUAACAAUGAAGAACCACGACGCAAUUGUGAAGCAAUUAUUCAGGAUAUCACGUCGGGGAAGGAUUAAGAACCGCCAUGUAAUUCAAAAUAACACGACUCCAAUCCCAUAAUACCGACGUCUAAAAAACGAGAUAUAUAAUCUGAACGUUAAAAAAUACGACGUCAUCAUACAUUUUCCACGUCGCAAGUUCUUUUAUAAACGAAGAGGAACGAAAUGAAUUCCGACGGAAAUUCAUUAUAACCGCCGUCUAAUAACAAUUAAACGACGUUAUUUGUAAUACGGCUCUCAUCAUAAUCAACGCCGUCUAUAUGUUCUGUAAUACGGCUCUCAUUUAUUUGGAACCGACGUUGUUUAGAAGUUCAACGUCGUCUAUAUUAUUAAGUGCGUCGUGAGUAAUGAUGAUAGAUUUAAAUACAACGUCGACUAUAUAAAUGCCACCGACGUUGUUUCGUAUUUCAACGUCAACUGUAUAAAUACAUACGUCGUAAAUAAUGACACUGACAACUAUUUCCACGUCAUCUUUUUUAGAAAAAUCGAAGUGGAAAAUUUAUUUCACGACGGUUGUUUGUAAAUUAGAGACGUAGUAUAUUUCAAUAACGUCGUCUUCUCAUGUAUUUAAAGACGUCAUAUUUUUUCUUGUCGUGUAAAUUAUAUUUUGCGGCCUUGUUCUUUUAACAUGUGUCAUAUUUUUCCUUUUUAACGACGGUGAUUUGUUUGAGUUGGUCGUCUAUUCUCAUCCUCGACUAUUUUCUAGAACUUUAGCAGACUAAACACGUCUGUUUUUAUUGUUUUCCGACGUUGUUUUAUUUAACAACGUCUAAUAUUUAUCGUCGUUGUUUGUUUCUGAAAAUAUGACGUAUAAAUUUUGUAAUACGACUCUCAUAUAUUUGUAACCGACGUUGUUUCGUUUUUCAACGUCUACUCAAUAAAUACAUACGUCGUAAAUAAUGACACUGACAACUAUUUCCACGUCAUCUUUUAUCGAAAAAUCGAAGUGGAAAAUUAAUUUUACGACGGCUGUUUUUAUAUAUGCGACGUAGUAGGUAUCAAUAACGUCGUCUUCUAAUGUAUUUAAAGACGUCAAAUUUUUUAUUGUCGUGAAAAUGAUAUUUAACGGCGUCGUUUUUUUUAUUUUCGUCGUUGUAUGUCUAUCUUGCGGCCUUGUUCUCUUAAUAUGUGUCAUAUUUUUCCUUUUUAACGACGGUUUUUUUAGAGAGUUGGUCGUCUAUUCUCAUCCUCGACUGCUUUUUUAGAUCUUUUUGCAGUACAAAGACGUCGUUUUGUAUUUGUUGAUGACGUUGUAUAUUUUAACAACGACGGUGAUUUAGCGUCGUGGUAUAUGAGGGAAAAGAUGACGGUGGAUUCCACGACCAUUGAAAAAUCGAAUACACCUGAAAAUCCUGCGGACUAGUUAAACGAUCCCCCAAUUGGAUUGUUUUCCCCGGUACCUAGGUGGUGUGAUGAGUAUAUUGUAUAGCUAUUUAUAGUUAUAUUUAUAUGUAUAGGUAUAUUUAUAUGUAUAUGUAUAGUUGAGUGUGUAAGGAAUUAGUAGUUUGACAGGAGUUGUAAGAUUGAGAGAAUGUGAUUCUUUUUGAAAGAGAUAACUGGUGUUUUUAGAAGGGUUUUAAUGAAUCAUGUUUUGAGUAAUUAAUUAUUGAAUUGUGAACCUGCAUGACUUGAGCAUUAUUUUUACAUGGUGGGGUUACUAUAUUGUUUUUAACUGCAAAUCUGGUUUUUGUCCACUCACAUGUUUUCUGUUUUGCGCCCCCCAGCCAGUAGUCGCUCCAGGAAACAUGCGAGUGGUGUACGAAGCUCAAACUGUGCAUCUUUCUAGUUAGGAACUGUGUAAAUCCUUCUACUCAACUGUUCUUGUAAUCUAAAUUCAGUAGAUGCUCUGUAUUGCCCAUGAUAGAUUUUACUUGUGAGGCCGGAGGCCACUUUAGUGACUUGUAGAAUUGUGAAAGCAUGCCGCUGGUUGGAAUUAUUAUUGUGUGUUUGUUGCAGGUUGAGUAAUUAUUUUUAUUGGAAUUGCUUAAAUUACAGGGGAGACUCUGCCAAAAUUUUAGUAGAAAGUCUCGAUUUCUUAGUAGGUGGACCCGGCAUCGGGAUGAUGUCAGAAUAAAGACGGGGUCCGCUUCGGUCUUCUGGAAAUUCCGCGGCGGGUCCUGUCAGUUUGGUAUCAGAGCCACUCUGCCGUGUAGUGCGAGUGUGCCGACGAGGACGUCGGGCCCUUAAGGGGGGUGGAUUGUAAGAUCCCACAUCAACCAAACAGAGAGGGGGUGAUGUGCCUUAUAUGUGCACACCCGCAUCCAUCUAGCACGAGGCCUUUUGGGAGCUCACUGGCUUCGGAGUCGUAGGAACUCCGAAGUUAAGCGAGUUGGGGGCUAGAGCAACCCCAGGAUGGGUGACCCACUAGGAAGUUGCUCGUGAGCUACUAGAAACAAAACCGUGCGGGCAGAGAGGGGGGCCCAAAGCGGACAAUAUCGUGCUACGGCAGAGCCGAUCCCGGGAUGUGACAUCUAGUAAAGAAUAUAAUAAAGCUAACUAAGAAACGGAACGAAGAUGAAUUGGAGCGAAAAAAGGUUGAGGCGCAGCGAAGACGUCGACUUUAUGGAAGACCCAUAAAGAAGUACACGGCUACAAAGGACAGUCUCAAGAUUGCUGUAAAGCUCGGUGUAUGCGCUUACGGGAAGGACGAAACAUCAAUAAGCUACUUCGAUACAAGAAUCUCCUAAUGCAGUAUGUGAAACCUAUGCCCUAUUUUGAAUCACCUGUUGAGAUUUUCGAUACCACCACUAGCAGGAAGAUAGUGGUACUUGACCCAUUCCCUACUAGAGAGAUCAACACUUUUAUGACAACGCUUUGUGACAAGGAGGGAGCUAAGAAAGCAUGAAGUUAAAGUGUUCGUGGGGAAUGGAGAACAAGUAGAUGUGGAAGCUAUUGGAGUAGUUAACUUGAGGUUUGGAAUCAAGAUUUAUUUUUGAGUUAGAUGAUGUAGGUUUAGUACCCUAAAUGAAGAAGAAUUUUUUUUUUUUCUAUUUCAAGAUUAUCGAGACUUGGUUUUGUUUUUUGAAUUUAAUAAAGAUGGUUUCGCAUUAUCUCAAAAUUCUGUUGUUCUUGCUACUGGUUUUCUCUCAAAUUGAUUAUACUGUCUCAAUUACAAUAAAGAUGGUGAAGUUUUAAUGGCUGAAUCGAGUGAGAAAAGGAUUGGAAGUGAAGGAACAUCCGCUAGGUUAUGGCGGAGAUGUUUAGUGCACAUUUCAAAAGAAUGAAUGAAAAUUCUUGUUAAAAAACAAGUCUUGUCACCACUGACCUUCAAUAAUGACGAGAUUUGUAUCGAAUGUGUUAAAGGAAAACUCAAUAAGACAAAAAAAAAAAGGUGCAAUUCGUAGUAGUGAUCUUUUAUAGAUCAUUCACACAGAUAUUUGUGGACCAUUCUCUCAUUAAAAUAAAUCACUUUUAUAGAGGACCAUUCUCGUUUUGGUUAUCUAUACCUCAUAGCAGAAAAAUCUCAAGCCUCUGAGAUGUUCAAAAAUUUUCAAGCUGAAGUUGAAAGGCAACUUGAGAAAAAGAUCAAAAUUGUGAGGUUAGACAGAUGGGUGAAUAUUGUGGACGUUUUGAUGAAGGAGGAUGACGUGAUAGACUUUUUGCUAGGUAUCUAUAAGAUAAUGGAAUAGUUGCUCAAUACACAAAGCUAGGAACUUCGCAACAGAAUGGUGCGGAUGAGAGAAGAAAUCAGACUUCAAAGGACAUGGUUCAUAGCAUGAUUUCCAAAACUAAUUUGCCUAUGCAUCUAUGGAAAAAGGCGAUCAAAACAGCAAACUACAUACUGAAUAAAGUGCCCCAGCAAGUCUGUGCCUAAGACACCUUUUGAAAUUUAGACUACCAGAAAACCUUAUUUGCGACAUCUUCAUGUAUGGGGUUGCAAUGCUGAAGCUAGAAUCUAUAGCCCUUAAGAGAAGAAGCUCGAUCCUAAAACGAUUAGCUGCUAUUUUAUUGGUUAUCCUGCAAGGUUAAAGGAUUUUAGAUUUUAUUGUCUAAAUUAUGGUACUCGAAUUGUUAAGACUGGCCGUGCAAAUUGCCUCCUCCGUUAGUCAAACCGUUAGUGAAUUUGUUAAAUGCUGACGUGGCGAAUGUGGGCUCCAUUUUUUAAUGACAUGGAUUCCUCGUGGACAAAACAAAUAAUAAUAAAUUAAUUUAUUGUUUAAAUUAUUUUAAAAAAUUAAACAUAUUAAAUGAAAAAUAAUAAAAUAAUAAAAACCUAUCUAGAUCCAACUGUCCCAACAACACCAGCCCAAGUGGCUUCCCCAGCCCCUCUUUGCUCCUCUAUGCUUCUUCCUUCCAAUUUCCAAAACAUAGCCAACAAGAAGAACAAUAGCGUUAGCUGCUGCUUCUUCUUCGUUUUCAAGUCUUCAAUAACCACUCAAACCCAUCCACACCCUCAUCACCCAUACCUUCAGAGGACCUGUAGUACACAAUCGAGACCAAGAUGUUGCUGGCUAGCGCUGUCACCGGUGCUCCUCUAGCAGCGUCUGCUCUCUCUUCCACACUUUGACCUCCCCGUCCGUCGCCUUGGGUAUACACCAACCCUUCGACGAUGGGGACGAUGGAGUUGUUGUCUUUGACGUGUAUGGACGAAACGACAUCAAAGUGCUUGAUCCAUAGGGUUUUCUAUCUUUUGUGUUGAAUUAUUGUUUGAAAAGCUAGUGAUUUAGGGUAUGUCCAUUUAAGAUCCGAUUCCCCUGCUCUAUUUUCUUUCAAUAACUUAUAGAUAUGUAUUGUUGUUUAUAUUAAUUUAUGGAUCUGUGUUGAUGUUUACAGUAGUUUUUAGAUCUAUAUUUUUGCUCAUAACAGCUUAUAGAUCUUGUUUACAGUGACUGGUAUGCAAUAGAUCUGUGUAUGCUAGAUUUCUUUUGUUAUUUGACUCUUUGAUUAGUAAAUUUGUUAGCUAGUUACUUGUGUAGAUUUGUGUUUUCGUGGUUCACGUUGCUGUAUAUGGUUAUUGACUUAAGAUUAGAUCUUCAGUUGGGUCUUCAAAUACUGGAUUUGAAAAAGUCGAAAUGUUUUUAAUAGAUCUGAUAAAAUUAUCUAUUUGAUUUGGAAUUCAAUUUGACUGUUGGAUAUGGGUCGGGUUUUUUAUUUUUUUAUUUUUCUGGGUUGGGAUGGGUGGCCUGAGUAAGCUUUGGAGCCCACAUGUAUGGGGCCCACAUGUAUGGAGCCCACAGAGAAAUUAAGCAAAAUAUUUUGGAAGCUUAUCACCUGCACACUCACGGGUACACUCACGGGUAUCCUUUCUCAGCCUAUAAAUAAGACCACAUCAGAGAAAGAAGAUAGAGAUAGAAGAGAAGAGAAAAGAGGAAAGAAAGAAGGUAAAAGAGAAAAGAAGAGAAAGGGAAACGGAAAGAAACAAAGAGAGGAAAGAGAAGAGAGGAAAGAGAGAAGAGGAAAGAGAGAAGAGGAAAGAGAGAAGAGGAAGAGAAGGAAGAAAGAGGAAAGAGAGAGCAGUGAGAAAUUCUCCUAGAGAGAAAAUUCAGUGAGCCACACAUGUUGUAAACACUAAAGUUGUAGCCAUAUUAUUUUAUAUAGUGAAAAGUUACUGCUGCUGCUCUCCGAGGACGUAGGCAUAGCCGAACCUCGUUAAAUGCUGUGUCUCAUCUACUUUACGUGCAGCUCAAUAUUCGUACAUAUUCCAGGUCAUUUUAUAACACCUAUAAUUUAGUUGGUUUUAUGUAGUUUGUCCUAAAAGUUACUUGGUAUGGUCAAUUGUGAUGCUUAAUUAUCUUAAUUAAUUAUUCGUAUAUAAAGGUAAGUAAAGUAAAAUAGUAGAUAUUGCUUAAUGGGCUACAAGACCCAUGACUUGUAUUGCCACAUUUGUCAUGGUGAAUAACCAUACGUCCACCACUUGUGCCGAUCGUCUGGGCAUAUCUUGGUCUUUUUGAAUUCACUUUCUACUUCCGGGACCAUCCUUGACUCAAUCGAAACCAUAAAGUUUUGAACAAAUACCCACUUCGACCACUACUUUGGGUGGCUAAGGUCACCCAUAAAACCCCUCAUGCAUUUAGGACAUUGUUGAGUUAAUCUUAAACUAUUUGUUGGUUACAGGAAGCUUGGUUAUGCUUGAAUGACUAGGUGCCCACUUCAGGGCAAGACGUGGUACUCUUUCGGUACGAGAUCAUUCUUCGACGCGUUCUAGUCAAGGCUCCGAAGACCAUGUUUGAUGUUCCACUCUUAAGAAAAAAAAGUUUUUUUUUUCAUCAACUUGUGUGCCAUUUUAUGCCUUUAAUGAGUAUCGUUCUCAUUGCUAAAUAAUGGAGGAUGAGAAUGCUUGGGAUGUAAGUUAUCAAACAUGGACUUGGGGAGUACAAUCACAAAAUAUAUUUUAUUUAUAAAAAAGUGUUCGCCCUGAGUCAUUCAUUAGGGCAAACUAAUAGUCGUUUGAUAAAAACGAAGGAAAGAGAGAAUAGAACUUAGAACUUCGGUGCAAAGAUAAAUUUUCUUAAUAAUUUGAGUUAUAAACCUCUUACAUGAAUUUAAAUCUCAAAUAGAAAAACAUAAAAUAAAAAAUUGAGCCUUGAUUUUUUAAAGGAAAAUGGUAAAUGUUGGAGGCUACACUUAUCAACUUUUUCUCCCCAAUGUCCGUUUCCCAACCUAAGUGGCAAUUAAUAAGAAGAGUGUCUCAUUUUAAAAAUAACCGUGUUGUAGUUUAAAUUGGGCCAAUAUGGUCUAACUCAGUGAAAAAGAGCAUUGACUUGUGAACUAGUGGUGCGUUAGUAGUGUGUAUGUGAGAAGUUUCCUCCCUUUUUAUUUAUUUAUAUUUUUUAUAUUUACACACUUUGAUAGCUCUCCUUUUUGUGAAAGCUUUGUUCUUGAACGUUGGGUUGGCGUUUUCAAGCCUAGAUUUGUUAUUGCUAGGUUGUUUUUUUCGGGGGCUUCUAGCCCCGUAGUGAAUUUUUUUCCUUCAUAUUGUAGAACCUAGUGUGAUAGUGCUUUUGGUUGGGAAAAAAAUUUUGAAAAAAAAAAGUUUAUAAGUGUAGCUAGCUUCCUUGAUUCCAUCCACAUCUCAUCGUUAUGAUUUUCUUCAAGCUUACAAGGCAACGAGUAUGGAUUGACACAAUUUAUAAAUAAAUAAAUAAAAAAGCCCCCCUUUAUGAUCAAGAUAGACACUCUGCCAAUAAACGCAGCAACCAUGCUCUGCAUUUUGACCAAGAAAAAAGAAAAAAAGAAACCAUGUAGGCUGCAUGCCAAUAUAGGUGCAUGGUGUGUGAUGCUUGCCAUGAAAUUGGCAUGAUCAAUCUCAUCUGCUACACUCGUUUGUCAUGACUCAUGUGGAACCUUUUAGGAGUGAUUUGCAAUAAACAAAAAUUAAAAAAAUUAAAAACAAAAGCACAUUUUCCUUAAUUAUAAUAUUAAUCUCGCUUGUGCACAUACACAUAUACUUUGAUUUAUAUAAGAAUUUAUGUAAAAAAAGUAAAUCUUUUACUAAUAAAAUUUUCAAUGAUAUUGCAUUUAAUGAUAUCACAAUCAGGUCAUUUUAGAAGUCAAAUUAUGCAUUUAAGAUUUAUGUGAAAUCAUUCAUUGCAAGACUUUUGUCAAAAUAAUAAGAGAUAUCUGGUCAUAUACCUAUUCUUAGCACUAAUAAUAUAGAUAUAUUUUACACCAUUUAAUUUCUAUAAACAAACCCAAAAAAUGACAUCUGGCCUUAUUAAAUUUAAUUUUAAUUAUUAAAUUACUUUGAUGACCUAUUGAGUGUUUUGGGUAUUUUUACGAGGUUUUGGUGUUGGGUUUGUUUUAAAAAAUUGAUGACAGUUUUAUAAUUUAUAAGAAAUUAAAAGCCACCUUGUUAUUGUAAAUAGGCUUUGGGUAUGUUUUUAAAAUUCAUUUCAUAUAGGGUUAUAUAUAUAAAAUUUGAGCCCCUAUAUUGGGUAUAAUAGUGAAUCUCCCAAUUAAUAAAUGCAUAUUAUGUCAUGCGAUUUGCAAAAUCAAUAUAUGAAGCUCCAUGGAAGGUUUCAAGAAGUCAUUGACAUGUUUACUAAUUCAUAAUUGGAAUCAAAAUAAGGAGUUGAAUUCCUAUUACGGAUACUCCUAUGUUUAUUUCACGUGGAAGAAUCAAAAUGCGAGUGUUACUCAAAUAAAAUCAGGAACUCUUGGGUGAGAGAGGUAGUAUUCUAAAUCCUAGAGAACUAACCCAUUAGGAAUUCAUAUUUUUUACCCAUUAUAUCCUCACACAAUUUUAAAAUUUUAAAAUUUUCCAUCUACUUGAACCGAACAAAGAGGGUAGUUUAGUAAUCAAUUUGGUUUCAAUUCCAAUUCUUGUGAAUUUAGUAAACAACUUAUAAGGAAUUAAUAUUACUCCUACUCCAAUUCUAUAUAGUAAAAUAAACAACUUCAGAAUAAAUCCGAAAUCUAAACUUUCCUCAAUCCAAUCCAAUCAGAUUAGUAUGUAAUCCAAAAAAAAGAAGGAAGAAGCUAUAUGUAAGUUAUGAAACAGGAAAUAAGGAAAAACAAACGGGAAAGAAGCAAAUCUUUUUUCUCCAUCAGGAAAAGGAAAAAAAAAAGUUAGUCUUUCUGGUAGGAGUAAUAAAUGCAGUCAAUUACCAGGAAGCUACAGUGAACUUUCUUCCCUCCUUCCUGAAUUUGAAGCGACCGUCCUGUAUAUAUAUCCUAUACGAAUUCUCUCUUCCUCGAAUAUUAACACUCAUUAAACCCUUUGUUUUUUGGCUAAACUUUAGUUUGCUUUCCUGUUUAUUGAUCUUCAUCAACUCGCAGUUUUCCUUGUCCAUUGCCAUGUCUCGGAGGUCACGAAAACCCGCUGAACAGGCUUUUAAUGCUGAAGACCAUGCACCAACAGAACCGAAAACGCACAAGCAGAGGUGGCGGUUGGCCUUGACGGUCAUAUCCUUCACCAGGGCUCUUAAUACACUUGCCAAGAAAGUAAUUUAUGACAAGGGCCAAGUACCUCGAUCCAUCUCUUACAUAUCCAUUGAUGUACCCAGCAACGAAGACGAUAGUGCAGGCAAAAGCAGUCGUUCUUUGCUUGAUCUUGAUCAGAAGGCGCUUACUGAUAUGGUGAAGGACAAGAACCUUGAUCUUUUGAGUCAAUUUGGAGGAGUUAAAGAUUUGGCUUCUACUCUUGGAACUGAUGUGAAGGGGGGAAUUGGCGGGGGAGAGGCUGAUUUGAUGCAUAGGAAAGAUGUUUUUGGAGCCAAUGUGUUUCAGAAGCCGCCUGCAAAACGCUUCAUGAGUUUUUUCAUUGAAGCAUUCAAGGACACAACCAUCAUAAUACUUCUGGUAUGUGCUAUACUCUCUCUAGGGUUUGGAAUUCAAAAGCAUGGCUUGAAAAACGGUUGGUAUGAUGGUGGUAGCAUUGUUCUUGCUGUCUUGUUAGUCGUUAUUGUCACUGCUGUCUCGAACUUCAAGCAGUCGAGGCAAUUUGAUAAGCUUUCGACCAAGAGUAGUGACAUAAGUGUUGAAAUUGUGAGAGCUGGACAACGCCGUCCCAUAUCAAUAUUUGAUAUUGUGGUGGGUGAUCUUGUUUGCCUGAAGAUUGGGGAUCAGGUUCCGGCAGAUGGGGUGUUUAUGGAAGGGCAUUCAUUGAAGGUGGACGAAUCCAGCAUGACAGGGGAAAGCGAACACAUUGAGAUCAAUAGUGGAAACCAUCCCUUUCUGUUAUCUGGCACAAAGGUGACAGAUGGGUUUGGUUUGAUGCUUGUCACUUCUGUGGGCAUGAACACAGCCUGGGGCGAGAUGAUGAGCUCAAUAAGUCGGGAUUUAGAUGAGCAGACACCUUUACAGGCACGGCUUGACAAGCUUACAUCUUAUAUUGGGAAGGUUGGUUUGGCAGUGGCUGUGCUUGUUCUUGCGGUUUCGCUGAUUCGUUAUUUCACCGGACACACCACAGAUGACAAGGGGAACAGAGAAUUCUAUGGAGGCAAGACAAAGUUCGAUGAUGUAGUGAAUUCUGCUCUGGAUAUUUUAGCUGCAGCAAUCACAAUUGUUGUUGUGGCGAUUCCUGAAGGUUUGCCUCUGGCCGUUACCUUGACUCUUGCGUAUUCAAUGAAGAAGAUGAUGAAUGACAACGCCUUGGUUCGAAGGCUCUCUGCAUGUGAGACGAUGGGAUCAGCCACAACCAUCUGCACUGACAAAACAGGCACUCUUACCAUGAAUGAGAUGAAGGUUACAGAGUUUUGGCUUGGUCCAGAAGCAAUGACAGAAGAGAAUCAGUCAGAGAUAACACAACCCAUUCUGCAAUUACUCCAUCAGGCUGUAGGCUUAAACACAACUGGCAGUGUUUGUAUGCCGAAUUCUUCAUCCGUCCCUGAGAUUUCUGGUAGCCCAACUGAGAAAGCAAUACUUUCUUGGGCUGUGUUUGAUUUGGGAAUGAAUUCUGAAGAAGUGAAACAAGGCUGUCAGAUAAUCCAUGUUGAAACUUUCAAUUCGGAGAAAAAGAGAAGCGGUGUUUUGAUGAGGAGGAACGGUGAAAAGGCAACUGAAACCCACUGGAAAGGAGCAGCUGAGAUGAUACUGGCCUUGUGCUCAAAUUAUUAUGACAAGACUGGAAAAGUGAGAGCCAUCAGUGAUGAAGAAAGAUUGCAUGUUGAGUCAAUUAUUCAGAACAUGGCAGCCAAAAGCUUGCGGUGCAUUGCCUUUGCUCAUAAAAUUUCUGAAGAAGAGAAUGGCAGUCAGGGUCAUGAGAAGCUUGAAGAAAGUGGGCUGACAUUGUUGGGUCUUGUGGGUUUGAAGGAUCCGUGCAGACCUGGAGUUCGAACAGCAGUAGACGCUUGCAGAGCUGCUGGAGUGAAAAUUAAGAUGAUAACCGGUGACAAUGUGCAUACUGCAAAAGCUAUAGCUGUUGAAUGUGGGAUACUGAAACCAGAGGAGGAUCUGGAGGAUGAUGCAGUUGUAGAAGGUGUCCAAUUUCGAAAUUACUCACCUGAAGAGACAAUGGAAAGGAUCGAUAAGAUUCGCGUGAUGGCAAGAUCGUCACCAUUUGAUAAGCUAAAGAUGGUACAGUACUUGAAGCAGAAAGGCCAUGUGGUUGCAGUGACGGGAGAUGGCACGAAUGAUGCACCUGCCCUAAAGGAAGCAGAUAUUGGGCUUUCAAUGGGGAUCCAAGGCACUGAAGUUGCAAAGGAGAGCUCAGACAUUGUGAUCUUAGAUGAUAACUUCACUUCUGUGGUGACUGUUCUGCGAUGGGGCAGGUGUGUUUAUAACAAUAUUCAAAAGUUCCUUCAGUUCCAGCUCACAGUAAAUGUUGCUGCCCUUGUGAUCAACUUUGUUGCCGCUGUUUCGUCUGGCAAAGUUCCACUGACUGCUGUCCAGUUGCUGUGGGUGAACCUUAUAAUGGAUACAUUGGGGGCUUUAGCUUUGGCCACUGAACAACCAACCAACGAACUCAUGGACAAGAAACCAGUGGGUCGAACGGAGCCACUCAUAACCAGAGUCAUGUGGAGAAACCUCUUAUCUCAGGCUUUGUAUCAGAUCACCAUCUUGCUGACUCUACAGUUUAAGGGAAGAUCCAUCUUUGGCGUGGAUGAGAAGGCCAAGAAUACCCUUAUCUUCAACACUUUUGUUUUUUGCCAAGUCUUCAAUGAGUUCAAUUCCAGGAACAUGGAGAAGAAGAACAUAUUCAAGGGGUUACUCAAGAACAAGUUGUUCUUAGCAAUAAUUGGCAUCACUGCAGUUCUUCAAAUAGUGAUGGUUGAACUUCUGACGAAGUUUGCAAGUACUAAGAGGCUGAAUUGGGGGCAAUGGGGUGCUUGCAUUGGGAUUGCAGCGAUGUCUUGGCCGAUUGGUUGGCUUGUUAAGUACAUUCCUGUUUCUGGAUAGCAGGUGCCAAGGCAUAUAGUUCCUGAAAAAUUGUCGAACAGAUAGAAACAGACUAAUUCUUUUGUUGCUCUUUUACUAUUCAAUUUUUUUGUCUUCUUUUUUUACAGUAGUUUCUCAAAGAGAUUUUCUCAAUCCAGGAUUAGAUAUAUUGGUAAAUGAUGAUGUAACUAGUUAUAACAUCUUCAGCUCAAUGAUGCAAUUCUCUUUUUUUUUAUAUCUUUUUUAUCACACUGACGCAGUUCUUUUAUGGAACUAGAAAGUAACAAUUCUUGCUUCAGCCCUUUUGUUUGCUACAUUACAAUGAAAGGAGUAAUUCCUAUCAAGAAAAAGGAAACAAUGAAAGCAAUAACAAAGCCAAGAAAAAGAAUGACUUGUUCCGUUGAUCAUUAUAUCUUUUCCGGCUAACAAUCUGAUGCAGAACACUCAAUUGAUAAUGCAGGCAAACAAGCCAAAAGAAUGUUUACAAUUAGCCAAAACAUAGUACUCAGUACUCAGGUUAUACUAUGUUUUGGUAGUUCACCCCCCCAAAUCAACUCUCCAAAGAAGAAAAAUCCACACCACACAAAAUCUUUUAGAAAAUACAUAAUCAGCUUAACCAAAGGUUUUCAGGUAAGGUAUAUGAAGUAACCAUUUCGAGUUGUGCUAUACCAGUUGCUAGCAUUUUGCCAUUGCACACAGAAGCAGCAGAAUUCGAAUAUAUAGUCAUUGUAAUUUGUAAUACUACUACUAUAUUCAUCCCUGAAAAUAUUAACCACAAUGAAUUGAAGGACGCAAUUGGUUCAGUUUUGAACAAUUUAGAACAUGGCUGCUAAAGCUCUCUAGUGCAUGAUCUUUUUUUUCCGCUGUUCGUGGUUCAUAUCGAAUGUCGAAUUCGCAUAGCUGAGCUGCGCAUAUCUGUUUCCAGCCAGCGAUUUUGAAGCUUCCCUAGCUAAGAGUUUUAUGCAAUUUAAAUCAGAUUUUCCAAUUUAGCUCUAACAUAAUUAUAGUCCCACUUCUGGAUAUUGUUGUGAAAGAUUUGUAAUUCUUGACCCCACCCCCACUUCCCACCCCUAAAAAAAUAAACAGAAAAUACCUGAAGUUAACUUCAAAGACAGUAACAGAGAAAUUUAACUACUUUCUCGGAUUUUCCUUGUAACCAAACAAAAUCUUUCACAUUAUAUAACAUUUGGUAAAGUUUUAACAUGGUUCUGAUGCGUGUGAAAAAAGAACCCAUUACUGUGUUGGAACUAAUUUAAUAGAAUAAUUAUUUGGUUAUUCUCCUUAUUAACUGCUACAAAUUUUAUUUGCAUUUUGAAAUUCAAUCUCCUUUUGCCGCUAAAGAUAUGCAUAGCAUUUUAGAUUCCCAUUCACAAGAAGCAAUGUAAAAUCGGAACUUCUACACAAACAGAGUAAAAGAGAGAAUAAAGAAAAGUUAGGGCAAACCUUCGAUUUCGGUUUUAGCUGCCAAUUUGUACUGUGAAUCAAAUGUUAUCUUCCCAGGUUCCCAGCGCCAUGGCCCUUGUGGUCCACUUUGUAUUUAGAGCACUUCCACCUAUUUGCCAUGGCAAAGGGCAAGGGGAGGCAAAGUAUGUUUCCACCUAUUGCCAUGACAAAGGGCAAAUACUAUUCACAUUUUUUUUUUUACUUGAACAAUUAAUUUGGAGAAGAUUUUCGGUUCCCACGUGUCAAUAUUUAUUAUAAAAUUGAUAUCUCAUAAUUCAAAUGAAUUUUUUGAAUGCAAUUCUCAGUUGCCACGUGUCGAUAUUUAUUAUAAAAUUCAAAUCUCAAAUUUCAGAUAAGAUUUUCGGAUAAAAUUCUCGAGUGCCACGUGUCGAUAUUUAUUAUAAAAUACAUAUCUCAGAUUUCAGAUAAGAUUUUCACCCUCUAAAAUCGGGCCAUGUGUCAUCUCUAUCUUAUAAAUCUCUCGAUAAAAUUAGAGGCUCAACUCAUACCUCUCACACCAUACCUUCUCCAUCCUUUCAUUUAUCAGAUUUUAGAUUUUAUACUCCACUCUCAAUGUCAGACAUGAGGAGAUACUCGAUCUAUCAAGUCAAGGCCGCCAUCAUGGUUCACAAGUCACCCAUAAUCGAACAAUGACCAACUUGGACCCAACACUCAUACAACAAAACAUCUUCCAUGGUUGUCCACGUCCCUCCGGGUUUGAUGGAAGAUGUCAUAAGAUGGUGAAUAAAAAUGAAAAUUGAAAGUGAAUAAAUUUUUGUGUAGAAAGUGAAUAAUAUUAGAAGAAGAAGAAAAUGUAUGAGGCUUUGGUGUUAUCACUUUAGUCUCCAUAGUUUUAAUUUUAUUAAUUUUUUCUCUGUAGUUUUAAAUGCCUCGCAAUUCAAGGAUACGUUACAAAUUCGGUCAACUUCCUUCUAUUUCCAUACAAAAUUCUAUCCAAAAUACCACUCUACGUCGGCCAUACGUACAUCAGAAAAUUGGACAGAAAUUUGAAUGUGUCGUCCUUGAAUUGCGACGAUAUAAAACUAUAAGGGUGAAAUUUCCAUAAUUGAAACCACAUGGACAAUAGUGGAAAAUUCAGCAAAUUACAAGGACUGAAAGUGACUUUUACCUUAAAAGUAUAGGUUUUAGUGACGGAUAUGCAAAAAACAGCUCGAGCCGCUUCAACUAGUCAAAUCAAAUAAGUUCAAAGAGUUUGGUCGAAUUUUUACCUACAAGUGUAAUUUUGUACCAAAUUAAAUCAAACCUUAAUUAGUUUGGUGUGGUUUGGUUUAGUUUGGUUGGGCCUAUUUGAAAAACGUUUAAAUCAAACCAAACCGCAAAUAAUUUUUUUUUAGUAUUUCUUAUUGAUUAUCACCAACUUACGAUUAUAUUUUAUCCCAACUACCAUUUUAUAUUUGUUUUUUGUUUUUUUUUCAAAGCAAUAGAAAUUUAUUAAAUCACCAGGAAAAAAGAAUAUACAAAGGACAAAGACAGUAACCUAAGCUAGCCAAAGAGCUGAAAUGAUUAGUAGAGAAUCACUCUCGAAAAUAACUUUUCUAUACACCCUUAUUGCCAUAAUUUCUCCGAAUCUAGUCCAACAUCAAGAACAAAAUUGGCCGCUAGUCAACAUGACUCUCCUAAAGAGACUACUACCCAACAUAAUCAACUAAGUUUUCCAAAAUUAUGAGAUAAAAACUACAUAGAAAAAUCAAAGAGUUUCUGGACUUUAUUGAAAAAACUAAACCAAAACUAAAAUACUAAAACAACGCAGACAAAAGGAAGAACAAACACCACUAAUCUAGCUUCGGGACAUCACAUAGAGAGCGCCACAUUCUCACUCCAUGGCUCCAACACGCCAAUUUACAGUAAAUCAACCAUGACCAAACAAUCAAAGAGCAACCUCGUAAGAUGAGACAAAUUCAAAGCCAACCCAGAUGCGUGCCAACCUUUCAAACAAAUAGCAUAUCGACAUAGAUCACCCAAAAAAAGGAGAACAAUGAGAAUAUGAUGGGAUCCAGGGGAAAACUCCUCGAAUCUAAAGCUUUCUCUCUCUUUUAGAGGUUUUUCUAAAUUUAAUAUGUUUAAAUUUAUGGUAUAUUUGUUUAAUUUAUUAUUAAAGGAAACACCAUACCAAAUUGGUUUUUAGAUAGAUAAUUAUACUACUAGCUAGUACGAGACAACUAAACUACUCCAAACUGUGAUGUCAAAUUGGCCAUGUGGGCUUUUUGUGUCAAGCUGCAAUGAAGUUUCUUGCAUCAUUUAUGCAUGCCCCUUCAUCAACUGACUUGCUUGAUUGAAUUUUCUAUUGAGAGUGUUUGUCUCACAUUGAAAAGUUAAGAGAUCUAAUAUGGGGUUAUAAGGAGUUGAGCUACUACCCCAUUGCCAAUUGAUUUGAGGGUAGAACCUCAACUUCCUUUAUUUUCAUCUUAAUAAAAUGAACACUAUUAAUCAAUAUUUUAUUCUAUUUUAUUUUUUCUGGUCGUCUUUAAUUAAAUUAAUUAUCUUCCUUAUUUAAAUUAUACUAGCCUCUUCGCGGCUUUUUUUUUUAAUAAAAAAAUUUUAAAAUUUAUUUUAGAAUUAAAAAAGAUAAUGAGUAGUUGUGUUCCAUAAAAUAGGAUUCAUUAUCUAAUUUUUCUUUUAAUUAAAAUUUUUUUAAUAUGAAAAGUGUAAAUUUACCAUAUUAUCGUCAUUUAAUUAAUAAUUUCAAUUCUUAAUGUUUGCAUUAACCAAUGGCAUUUUUCGGUAUUUUGAAUGUUUUAUCAUUCUCUACCUUUUGCUUUAUAUAUAUAGAUUUACAAAGUUCAAAAAAUAAUAUAUUUUAUUAUUUUUAUGUUUGCUUUUCUUAGUUCUACACCAAACAUAGAAUAUCACUAACGUUUAUUCCAAUUCAUGCGAGUCCAAUCCAAAGAAGUAGUCCAGACUUGUCCAAUCCUGAUCUUGUACAAUGUGUUUUUCUUUGUUAAUGAAGGAAGAAUCAACGUUAUUAUCACUACUAGAAAACCUUAUUAUAAGCCAUAAACAACUCAUGACUUAUAUUCAUGUUCGUCACAGACAAACCGUGGCUGAAGGUUGUUGACCAUAAAACAUGUAAUUAUGGUAGAUGCGGGUGUUGCCAUUAACUCUUCGCCACAAUAAAGGGUAUCUGUAGCCUAUAAAUGGUGGAUCCCACCAUGCCUAGCUUCUCACCCUUACAAAAGUUUGCAUCUUUCAAUUAAAAUAUUAAUAUUCUUUAAAUCCCCACAAUCAUUACUAAAUGUGCAGUGAAAUAGAACUACACAUGUCCAUGAUGUGGAGUGAAAUUAGGGGUGGCAAAUUUAUGUCGGAUUCAGAUCAUGUUGAGGUAUUACAAGUCAAGAAUCUCCAAUUCAAACACAACUUGUUUAUUAAAUGGAUAACACGGCCCAUAUAACCCCCAUUUGUUAAAUGAAUUGGGUUGAAUUGUUAUUUAAAUUAACCCGUUUAACUAAUUUAAUUUUGUGACAGUUUACUGUAAUUUUCCAUUUUUUGGGCUUCCACCACAUAUGAAAAAAAUGUAAUUUUCAGGUUAUUUUUCUUUUGGUCGGAAACUUUUUAGGUUUCUAUCCUAUUUUGCAUAAGGAGUAAAUUGGAGAAAUUUUCAAACCCAUACCACAUUGCAGCAAACAAAUUGGUUUAAAAUUAUGCAAAGAAGCUAACGAGAUCUAACCCAAUGAAAGAGGACCUUUACUUCAAUCAUAGAGGUCUCAGGUUUGAAUCUCGACGGCAUCAUAGUUAUGUGUGUUUGUGAAAUUCUCCCUCCCUUCUAGUUUAGACUAUCGCUUGUAUUUAAAAUAUAUAUAUAUAGUUCUGAUUUCUUGGACCACAGGAGUCCAGGAGAUUGUGGUUACCCACUGUUGGAUAUUAAUCCAAUGAUUAAAAAAUAUUUCUUAAAAGUAGUGCAAGAGUGAACAAACCGUUGAAAUUACAUCAAACAUUGAGUGAUUACAAAUCUCUUGAAUCCUUGUAGUCCAAGAGAUAAAGACUACAUAUAUAUAUAUAUAUAUAUAUAUAUGCAAAGAAGUACUCUCAGUUCUUCUGAAAAUAUACGUAUAAAGCUGAUUUUAUUACUAUAUAUCUCAUGUUCUAACAAUAAUAGAAAAAAUGCAGAGCAAAACAAUAAAACAUUUCUGGUUCUGCAUUUUCCCCUUUUACCUUCCCUCCAGCAGUUUUUCAGGCCGCACGACAUGGGUUCGAAUGUCGAGAUAUUUGAUGGAAGACAUUGGGCUCCUAUUAAAGCUCCAUGAAAAGGACGGUUUUUACCGUUUGUGUUCCCCCUCGGGGUAACGUAUGCACUUCAGUUAUAAAACCAUAUAUGCACGUCAACCAUUAAAUAAAAUAUGUUUUUUUUUUUGUCAAUAAAUAAAUUUAAGAAUGGCAUGAGAACGAAUCCAUGACGUUUACUGUCGGUACAAGGUAAACCAAUCUACUGUGAGAGGUAAUUAAUGUGUAGGACCAAUUAAAUUCCUGGAAACAUGUAAAAUUUCUAGAAUUUUUUUAAUAAUACAGGUAUAUUGGGGGAGGAGAAUUCGAACACAGCUUUUAAUCACUUGAGUUACAAGUUCCUUGCGAAUUUCCAGAAAUUUUUAAGAUUUUUCUUUUUCUAUUCAUACUAUGUUACUUAUCAUGAAUGGUAUUGAAUAUACUUCAACUCUUGCUUUUUAUGUGUUUACUAACAUAUUGAUAUUGAAAUUAUUCUAAUUCCCGACUUUUCAUGUGUUCACUAAUACAUAAAUAAUAAAUAGGGUUAAAUACAUUUUUGGUUACUGGAUUUUACACGAAAUUUCAAUUUGAUCUUUGAGAAAUAAAUUUAGCCAAAUUAAUCACUUUAUUAUUAAAAGUUUACAAUUUAUAGACUUGCAAUUAGUUUUUGUUAAGUUGUUAGGUUACAUACCGUUUUCGUCAAGAAAUUUCAAUUAGUCAUUGGAAAAAAAAAAUGUAGCCAAAAGCCGUGUAAAUGCGAAACUCUAUUUUAAACAUUUUUUUUGGGGUCAAAUCUAUGUAUUGACAGUUAUGAAUUUGAAUUUUUGUGAAUGUGGGACUAUGACAAUGGUUGGGAUUAUGAUUGAAGUGUUUUUGAAAAGACCGAUUUGCAUUUUUGUCAAACUAUUAUUGAGAUAUGAACAUAUUUUGUCUUGAUAUGAUUCUUUUUUUUAGCCUUAAUUGAUGCUAUACCAAUAUAAAUUUUUAGCCUACGAGCAUUGUGUGCAAGAGCAUAGCAUUUGCAUGGAUUUCGGCUUUUUUUUUCCUCAGUGAUCACAUUGAAAUUUUUUGCAAAAUUCAGUGACCAAAAAUGUAUUUCAUCCAAAAAAAAUCAAGAAUUAGAUUGAUUAAAAGAGUAGUUGAUCUCUUUUCCAUUACUGUAUUUACUAUUCAUAAUUUCUCCGAUUCAUGACUUCUCUCAUUCCUAGUAAAUAAACAAAAUGGUUUUUUGUCUCUGUGACUUGUGCAGUAGGGCAAUUGAAGGAGGCUCAGGUCUAUCAUUUGAUCAAGAUUCCAUCAAAGAAAAAGAUCAACGUCUGCUCAAUCCAACCUAGAGUGUUGUGUUAGUCUGUUAGCUUUGUUGGCUAAAUUAGUUUUGCUUUUGUGGCAGUCAUAGCAUGUGCCGAUAUAAAUACUCAAGUGUACGAACAGUCAUUAUUACACAAUAAUAAAACUCUCAUUCUACUUUAGUGUACGUCUUUCAUAAUGUAAUAACAUGAAGUCAAGGUAAUAACCUUACCUAGUUAUCUGUAUUUGUAUUGAUUCUUAUGAUUAAUGGUCUUUAAUUGUGCUGGAAUUAUAAAUGCAAUCUAUAGUCUUUAUCUCAAAAAACUGAAGCCCAAGAUAUUAAGUACACAUUUUCUAAGUUUUUGAAACUUUUUGUUCUUCCUGCAAGAGUUUUUGUUCAUAUUGUUGUGUCACUUGGAUGUGAUGCUUUUUAUUAUUAUUUAUAAAUAAAAUAAAAUAAACGUUAGUAUAUUAUUGAUGAAUAAAAUAAAGUACAAAGCAACUAUGUACUGAUAUGGGUAAAUCUUAUCCAGUGACCAAACACAACAACAGGUUGAAUUGAUCUACGCACAACCAAAAUAAUGACUAAAUCCCUGAUCCAGCAACCAGAAGCACAUGUACUCAAACACGCAAUACAAAUUUGUUGUGCAAACGGUAGAAAUGGCAAAUUCAUAUUGAAAACCAAAAGCUAAAAACAAAUAAAAAUCCUAAAUAGAAAACAAAUCACAGCAAACUCUUAAGGGUUUCUGAAAGUUAUUAAUCUAAAACAAAACUAAGAAAUAUAGGACCACCACUCCACAUCUUCCGGUCAACUUGAAAAAAAUCAUAGCGUCAUAUUGGCUAAAACCCAUAGUUCCGCAUUGGCUAAACUCAAACCCAACGUAACCAGACAUCUUCCCUUUUUAGAGGUCCAAACUUUGUCGAAGGGAGCCAUCUCCUUGUGUACAUAGGCAAAAUACGGUGACUAUACGACUACUUCCACAUCACAAAAUAAACUAACAGUCUUGAGGAAAAAAGGAGGGAAGGAGAAAAGAAGGAAUGAAAGAAGAGGGGAGGAGGUAGGGAAGGAGGCUGCCAAACCCCAAAUGGGGCGGCGACUAAGACUUUUUUCCUUAGGGUUUUCUCAGAGAAUGCUUAAAGCGUUGUUUUCCUUAGGUUUGUGAUUAGGUUUUUUUUUUUUUUUUUGGCAGCGAAAAUUAAACAUUGAUUUACUCUCUGUUUCAGGUUUGUGAUUUAAAGAAUAAAAAUGGCUAAAGAAAUGUAAACCAAACAAUCGAGAUAUAUGCAAUAAACAUUUUAGGGAGAGAUGAUUGGUUGGUAUCGAUUGUGCCAAUCUACGGUACAAACACAUGUAAACUUUUUCAUUUAAACCCCGAGUGUUUCUUGCAUAUCCAUUUGAAAAUGCUUUUGGAAAGCACUACCAGUUCUCUGCAGGAAACAUUUUGUUAAGUGUACUUUUGAAACCCCAAAAACACUUAUCUAUUUAGCUCAACUGCUACAAAUAUACAAUUAUUUUAUUGAAGCACUUUUGCAGUCGCAGAAAAAAGAGAAUUGUUGAAGCACUUUUGAUACUGUCAAAAGCACUUUUGACUCCUCCCAAACAAACCUAAAAUCAAAAGGUAGUCUUGACUUAGAAGACUUGCUGGUCUUCCAUCUAAAUUCACAAACCUGCAAUUACCUUCUCAUUCCCCCACUGCAAUCCCUCCACAACACAACACAUAAAUUAUAUGAAAGCCAAAGUGUGUGGCUUGGAUAAGGAAAACCAUAAUUAUUUAACAAAUCCAUUGAGAUAACAAAUCAAACCAUGAAAAGGCCACCAUGAGGAAAUAAUCCUUACAAUUUUUACCUUUUAAUUAAUAAAAGUCCCCAGUCAAUGCUUUCUUACCUGGACAAAUUAGAAAAGCACUUUCCCAAGCAACAAAAGCACAAAUUGUAAAAACUCUACCUUAACAAGUCACAUAUUUACAUCCAUAAAGAGAAGUCAAAUAUUUCUCUUUAUUUAAAUUCCUUGUUCUAAACUUACUGGUUCUUUCCCUUGCCGAGCUUCACAGUUCCAUAUCUGUCCCAUAAGUUUUCUCCUCCAUUAAACUGCACGUGAAAGGAGCUGGAGCUCACAUCCAUAUUAGAACUUGAGGGUGAUAGCCCUCCAUCCAUUAGUUGAAGCCCCAUCCCAUCCGGCCGUCGUUUCGAAACUUCCUGCUGGCCUUCAUAACAAGAAAGUUGGCCAUGGUACAUGUUAGCUUUGGCAUCUUGUUUGUGCUUCUUGUUACAUUCUGCUGUCAUUCUGGGAUAAACACUCAUAUUCUCCAAUUUCUCUUUGCACUCUCCUACACUUCUUCUAUAGCCCAAGCAACCCAUUUUUGCAGCUAUCUCCUCCCAUAGGCCCUCCUUAAAACACCCACAGUCUUGAGUUGUGAGUUCCAAGCUUGUCCUGAUCAGCUCUAUUAAACUUGCAACCUCAUGUUCAGUCCAUCUGUUAAUAGUAUCAUUAGGAAUUUGAAGCUUUGAAAUGUCAUCCUUGUCCUUGUCGUGGUUACUAAUUCCUGGUCUUGAAAAUGUACCUAGAGCCUCCAUUAUUGCAGCAUCUCGGCUUUCAACCCAUGCUCUCUCCUUAGCCCAAAAUUCAUGCACUUCUCGAUCGAACUUGGCCGCCUGUUGCUUCCUCCAUUCUUCUUCUUGAGCUAUCCUCUCCUCCUCUCUAUGUUCAAUACUCUUUAACAUCUUCUCCAUCCAAGCCUCCUGGGUGUUUAUUACUUUCCCAAUCUGUGAAUUCACAAAAUCCUCCACCUUUGCUUUCCAGCUCUUCUUAUUAACCGGCCUUGCACAAGUUUGUUUCUCAUUCUUAAGGCUCCCCAUUGAUUGAUUCAUCAUAAAAUAAUCAAUGGCUGAAAUUGAAAGAUCAUCAUCAUUGUUCUCCGAGGAUGAGGUCUGAUCAAAUUCAGUUGAGUUAUUGGAGAAACUAAGGCUCUCACAACUGAUGUGCUUUUGGUCUUGCACCACUUCUUGAUUUUUAGGGUUAACAGUGUCAUUUGGAGUAGUGUGAUGAUAAAGAAGAGGGUUCAAUCUACCAUAAGUUGACGAUUGAUUGCUGGUUUGAUCUCCAUAAAUUGCUUCGAGCUGACGAAAGAACCUGUAGUGCUUCCCAUCUUGUCUCCCAGCUUUGCCUUCCUUUGUUUUCUUGUAGUACUUGUACAAGUUCUCAAACUUCUCUUUGCAUUUCUUCCCACUCCUCUGGUAUCCAUGUUCCUCACCCAUUAUCCUGCACAUCAAGAAAUUAAGAGAGUAGGAGAAGAUAUAGCUAGCAAUAGAGAAAGGUGUUUUAUUUAAAAUUAUACAGGUAAAUCACAUGUGCUUUCUUAGCAGUAUUCCUUUAAAUAGGACUACAAGUUAAUGAGAUUAUUAUAUUCAGCUAGAUUUUCCAAAUUCAGUAUUUCAGUUACUUUAUGAUUAAAUUAAUCAAAAUCUUCCCCCUUAUAAUGAUGUCCUAUGGAAUGUGUGACCCUUUUUUUGAAGCUAAUCAGAUUCCAUUGCCCUAAUUGAGCAUGGAUACAAGGCCCCUCAACUAGAAAAUAAAAUAAAAAAUUUAUUUAUGAUGGUGCAGAGAGUGGUCUUGGACCAGUCAAUUUGCAUACCAAAAACCAGAAAAGGAUAUGAAAAAGAACACCUGGGUCUCUUAGUUAACUGAAAUGGUUUGUCAGACUAAUCUUCAAGCACUAAACUCAGAAAUGUCAGUGUCUAAUUAAAAGAACAACAUGUAAGAGAAAGACAGAAAGAAGAAAACACUCCAUUUUGUGUUAACAAAAACACUAGGAAAAAAAAGGAAGCAAAAUUGGUAGGUAUAUAAACAAUAAAAAAUGAGUCUAUAAAUAUAUAUAUACCUAGAGACUUCAUCCCACAAGGGUCCUUUCUGAUUAGUCUCCUUGAACUUGGAAUCAAGACCAGAUCUAAUCUCAAGAAGGGUAAGAGUUUCUUGUCUUGGCCAUCUGUAAUUCAUAUUAUUUCCUCCAUCAGCAGCAUUCAUGCCAACAUUAAUAUUAUUAUUCCAUCCAUGUCCAUGCUCCAAAUCUAUCCCAUACAAUGCAGCAGCUGAUGAAGUGGUGGCGGCAGCAUUGUUAUUAGGAGGAUGAGCUGCACCACAGCCGUUGAUUAUAGUAGAAUAAUGAGGAGGAUGAAGAUGAUCAACCAAGCCACCAGCUGGAACAAGCAUGGGCUGGUAAUUAGGUUGAGCUGUGAGAUUUCCAUGUGCUGAAAAUGGCUCUUGGAAUUGUGAGGUCGUGCAAAACUGGGUUCUUGAGGCCAUCAGCUGCCGGAGAUCUGGAACUCCAUACUCAUCCAUAUCUACCACUCAAAGUUCGAGAGAGAGAGAGAGAGAGAGAGCGAGAGAGAGAGAAUUUAGGAGUUGCUUUUUGAUAGUGUUGGGAUGAAAAGGGAGGACCAAGUUAGAAUGUGAGCUUAAUUUUUUAUUAUUUCAUUGGAGACAGGAUCCGAGUCUAACGCAACUUUCGUCACUCUUGCAUCACUGUCAACCUCUGUGUGGAUGUAGAGAGAGAGAGAGAGAGAGAGAGAGAGAGAGAGAUUGAAAAAAGCAGUAUACUGUACGUAAUAUAAGUGACAGAGGGAAGGCAUGACACGAGGAUGAUAUAUAGAAGCAGCCUGUACGUAGAAAGAAACAGUAUAUCAUCCGUGUGUGGUUAUUUACCCUUUUCAGGUUUGACUGGCCAUCACUCAAUCUUCUAGCUUUCCACAGGCAUCUAUCUACCACCUUUAGUGCUUGCGACGGCUAACCAUGGCUCGCUUCUUGCUUCGACUGUGCUCAAGCGCCUAGCCUUCCUUCUUUUUUUUUUUUUUUUUUUUUUCCCGUUACAAGCCACUACUGCAAAAAGCUUGAUUUGUUAGGAAAUGGGUUAACAAGUUACUGUUCGAGUGAUAUUUCUUGUCACUUAAUUAAUUUGUCUGGAACAUAACAUUAUGAGUAAAUGGAAUGGAAUCGAAUUGGAAAAUGGAAAGAUUUGUACAUGUGAUACCUUUCAUUACCAUUUUGUGGAAAAUCAUGAAGUAUGAAUAUGUGAGAUACUAACCUUAUUACAACUCCAAGUAAGUCGAGUAAUUUCAUUAGCUAACAUAUUACACGUUUUAGGCAUUAUAUGACAUUGAGUCAUCAUUCCCCUCGGCUUCACCCCUAUCAUCUUCACGAAAGCCAAAGACCACACCAUGAGAACCAUGAGAAUCACACUCAAGCAUAAUGGGAAAAAACCCAACAUUUCAAACGCUAAUUUCAACGCACUAGGACCAUUGCUGUGAAGAGUAUCCCACAGCAGGGAUGGAAGUCUUAGAUUGAUUAAUAGUAUGUCUUUAACAUGGAAUUAAAUAUCUUACGAGUCCAUUUAGAUCGAGUGAUUCUAAAUCUAAGAAUUUAAAUGACAUUACGAGGUUAAAUUGUAAAGUUACAACUACGUAUAUCAAGAUUCAAAUGACUCUUCUAAAGUCAUUUUAAAUCAAUUCCACAUGUAUUACAUAUAGUUGUUUCAAAUACAUAUUCAAUCGAAUGUUUCUAGCUUUUUUUUAAAAUAAAAAAUAAAAAAUUUGUCAUUGUUAUCGAAUUCAAAUUCUUUCUUUGAAAUACCUUCAUCUAUACGGAGCCCUUCUACUGAUUAAAAGUAUGCAGAGCAACCUUGCCAUGUGAGGUGAGGGUUCAGCACUCACAUAUGGAAUGGAUAGGCCCCCAAGUCCUACCCGGCAGACUUUCAAGUGAAUAAUUGAAGUGUGACUCCGCAUUUGAACAAAUCAAGCAAAAGUCAUUUUUAGGGCCAAUGGAUUCUUGUGAGCAUUGGACAUUUGUCUUUGCCUAAAAGGGAUUGUAGGUCCCUUCUCUCACAGCUGGACAUCACAGCUUAUCAUUUCUGCUUUUGUACGGACGUAUUUGAUGAACAGGGAACCCUGGUAGAAUUAAUAUGAUUCCGAAGGAAGAAAACAGUGGCCUCUUUUUAAAGUCAUCAUUGGAUAUAUAUAUUUUUCUCAUAAAUCAUAUAAUCAAAAGACAAAAGGAGAGAUUUUUCCUUUUUGUUCCCUUACUCGGCCUCUCCUCUUGCCUUCCCACUGUUUUCCUUCCCUGCACAGUAAUAUUAUUGUAGCUGGAAAAUGGUAUUUUCAGAGUUAUAUAUUAGCUUUUACCAGGGUAAAGCGUGACGUUUUGUAUUCCUGCUGGAUGGUUCUGACAUAAUUUGGCUACUUUCAGUUUACAUUAUUCAUGGUGAGUGGUUACUUUUUUUUCUUCUUCUUCAAACCAAGAAAUAAAAUUAUAACGAGGAAGGAUCCCUGUAUUCCUGCUACAUACAUGAUGAGCUUUAAAUAAACGAGUAAGGGAAAGUUAGCAAGAAUAUAAAGUAUCAUGUUUAUCAUGACCCAUUGUGGGCAUAUCAUUAGCGAACUUGUUAGCUUUCUGAUAAAUAGUUCUCUUCUAAUGUCACCUCAACAUUAGUCACCAAAUGUUAUCAAAUAAUAGUGAUUAUUACCACAUUUUUUUUGUAGUAUUUAUUUGAGGGACACCCUUUAGGGUCACUUACAAAUUUUUUUUCAACGAUCCAAACCGUCUAUUUUUUAAGUCUACAUUCAUAGAUCUUCCUUGCAAAAAAAUUAGAUAAAUUGGAAACCAUUUCGAUAUUUAAUUGUGUCCUACAAAAUCAAUAAACAGGGUGCUUCAAGAAAGUACUAACAUUUCAAUAAUUGAAUUGAGUGGUCAAAUAUAUUUGAAUGAUUUCAAUUUGUCAUCAACUCUGGAAGCCCAAGUUCAACCCAUCUGGCGGAAGGAGAUGGUCAUGGUGGUGGGGGUUGGGGUUAGGGCUUAGGGUUUGAGAGGAAGUGGGAAUGAGAAAUAAUUUGGCAACUGAGGGGUUUUUUUUUUUUUUUUUGGGGGGUGGGGGGGUUGUGGAGUCGGGUAAAGAGCUGCUACUCUUUUGUUUUUUUUUUAAAGCAUACCGUGUUCACCAAAAAUUUUAAAAAAACAAGCAGCAUGCCUUAACAAAACAACGUAGUUUGUUUUAAAAAAAUUGGAAGCAUCUUAAGCAAAACGAGUUUUUUUUGCUAGGCGAUUAAAAAAAAAAACCUGCGCAGCUUCUCUUCUUCUUCCCAUCGAACUCUCUUCCUCCUCCUUUGGCUUUUCAUCAAAUAGGUGGUGGGCAGCUCAAGAGGUCAAACCUCCAGAAAACUAGGACCUCUAAGCCUAUUUUCAUGGCUUUUAAGGGGUCGUUUGACCCCUAUAGUUAACAAUGGACGCUCGUGUUGCUGCGCUGGAAGCCACUGCCUAUAAAGGUGUCCCUCAAAUAAACUUAUUUAAGGGAUUCCUCAAUUGAAGCUCUCUAUUCCGAUAAAUAUGUCUUAUUUGAUGAAUUUGUAAAGCUUUGCAUUAAUCCCUUAAUGUAGUUCAUUAGUGACAAAAGCCACCAGGGUAGAGGUUAGGGUCGUUGUAAUACUUUGAUUUAAAGGAUCUUGCUAGCCUAAGGACUUAAAAUGAGGACUUAUGAGGACCUCUUUAAUAAAAAUCAUUGGAUUAGUCAAACGUCACAUUGUUAGUAUUGAUUUUGUGAUUGGCAUUUCCUAGAGACAAAUUAGACUAAGUAUAGAUGGUAAAUUAGUUGUGAUGGUGGCAAUCAAAAUUCCAAGAUAUGCUCUGAAGGCUUAUAUGUCAACCAACGGUCACUAAGGUAAAUUCUUCAUUUAAUCAUGCAUCCUGAUUGUGGUAUUUCAAGCAUUAUUUCAAACUCACAAUCUGAUUAACAUUUUGAUUAAGAAGACUUUUUAUUUUAAGAAAGAUUAAUUUAUUUUAUAAAUUGCUUUCCAGUUUUGAACAUUAAAAGUAUUCUUUGAUUAGAAAUCAAUUAGUCUGAUUUUGGAAAAUUAAUAUGUUGAUUAGGAAGUAAUUGAUCUUGUUUCCAGUUUUGAAAACCCUUAUAAAAAGCAAGGCUUGGUUUUCAUUCGUUCAACAACUUUCAACGUUAGAGUAUUUCUUGAGUUUUCAUAUACACAAAAGAAAGUUGAUGUGCUUUAUUUUCCAGAAGGAUAAAUCAUCAAGAGUAAGAUUAUCUUGGUGAUUUAUCUUUGUAUUCAUAUUGCAUUCAUUUGUAUAUUCGGUGACUCAUACAGUUGAGGGCACCAAGACCGUUGUGGCGGUUUUUCUCCGGUGAGCUUGAAUCAAUCUUGACCAGUAUCGGAUUCAACAUAAGGAGAGUUGGAAGAACUCCGGCAAGCUUGAAGCAAUCGUGACCAGUAUUGCGUUCAAUAUAAGGAGUGUCGAAAGAUCAUCCCGCGAGAAGUUGAGUUAUAAAGAAGUUGGUACGUUGUCUAGAGUGUCUAGGACAAGUUUGUAUACUUCUUGAAAUCAUCGUUCUAUAGUGGAUUUGUCUUGGACUAUCAGGUCCCUUGGAUUUUCCCCAAAGGUGAGGUUUUACAUGUAAAAUAACUUAUGUGUUUUUAUUUGCUUUUACGUUAUGUACUAUAGAGGAUUGAUACAUCGUAUCAAUCCCUUUGGCGUGUUUUUAUACAUUACUAUAUUACUCUUGACUACUCAAAACGCAGACUUUACUUUUUAGUAUUUUAAGUCAUCCUAUAGGUAUUUUCACACAUGUAGUUAAUAGUCUUAACCCUCAACCAGACUACUUUAGUUUACUCAAACAAUAUUUUUAAUUAUUCUAAGUCGCAACAAAAAAGUAAAAUAGGAAUGUGCGUUCCCAACCAUCUUCAUCCCUUCAUCCCCUUCGUCUUUCCUCGUUCUCAUCGAACAAAACCAAACAAAACCAUCUUCUCCCCUUCAUUCCCUUCAUCUCUCCUCUUUCUGAUCAUACAAAACCAUACAAAACCAUCUUCUCCCCCUUAUCCUUUUCCUCUCUCCUCUUUCUGGUCGAACAAGUCUGCUUUUCCUGGAUUUCAUCAUAAUCAUUUUAUAUGUGUUAAUUGCUUAAACAUGUUUCCUUUCUUAUUUUUGUAUUUUUAGGGUUAGAACAAUUAAAAUGAUUGUUUAAGUAACACAAGAAGAAUAAAGGAGUGUUAAGACUACUAAUAUGUGUAGUCUGAUUAAUCCAAUUUGAUUAAAGAUGUCCUCACAUGUUCUCAUUUUUAGGCCAUUGAGUGAGAAUGAUUGCUGAUUAGAAUAUGUGAAUCACCUUCAAUUUAUAAAAGAUAAAUUCCCAUAUGUUGUGCCCACAACAACACAUACUUCAAACUAGUUGAUUAAGCUUUUAUAACCAAUGUAAAACCCAAAAGAAUCGAUUAUGCAACCUUAGGGACCGUUUGAUAACAAUUUUAGUUUAUAAUUUAUAUUUUUUAUUUUGAAGGAAUUGAAAACAGAAAACUUGUUUGGUAACCAAUUUUAUUAUUAUUUUUUUUAAAAAAAAUUGAAAUUGAAAAAUACUUAAAAGUUGUUUGGUAACUGAUUUCAGUUGUCAGCUUUAUGUGGAACUUGAAAUAGAAUUUUUAUGUGGUCAAAUUGUAAAUUGAGAUCAUAGAAUGAAAGUGCAUAUGUUACAAAGAGUUCGUUAUUUUUUGGUGAAUUUUUCGAGUUAAGAUGAUUUUUUGGGUGAAUUUUGGAUUUGGAGGUACUCAAGCUUGGAAUGGGUUCGCGGACGAACGCAAAUACCGAGUUUCAGUAACUGUAGUUCAAUACAUGUGUAGUAAUGUAAAAUUAGUGAAUGAGAAACGAGACAAAAAAAAAAGGAAAAAAAAAGAAACUAAAACCUACUUUUUCCGGUUGUUUCCGAAAGGAAGAGUGAUUUUGAAAAUUAGAUUUCACUUUGUUGAAAAUUGAAAAACAAAAUAUGUUACCAAACAUGUUUUCAGUUUUCAAUUUUCAAAAAAGUGAAAAUGAAAUAGUUAUCAAAUAAUCCUUUAGGAUAUCUCAGAGUCUCAAAGUCACCUUAUUAGUCUGGCAAAACAAGAAUGAAAUAAAAAGUUUGUUUUUAGUAAUUGCAAGAAAAAAUCAUCACACUUGAUAUCCAAUUUUGGGGCCCAAGCCCAAUAAAUACCAAAACGCAAGUAGCAAGUAAAAAGCCCUUACAACCCAAACCCAGAAUCUGAAGCCAUAAUCACCCGCCACUUGGCCCAUCUCUACCAUUGAAUUACAUGCUGAAGACCAAUGGAAUUUAGAAUGGGGAAAGGGCCGAAGCCGAAAUGAAUCGAGUCGAAUCUUACCCUUUUCCCCUUUCCUCAUUUUCCUGCCAAAUUUUGACGACCAGGAAAACAUGUUAGGGCUCACUGCUUUCACACCCCCACCAAUCCCAUCAGCUGCUUUGAUUUCAACCUCAAGACCUCUAUCAAUUCCCUCACAAACCCUUCUCAAUUCCUCUGCUUUACUUGUCAAACCCCAAACCCAAAUACCAAGAAAACCCAAAAAAUUUGUAGUAUUUGCAAACAACCCCAGUGCCAAGGAGAGGGAAGAAGAGAAAGACAAAGAAGAAGAAAUUGGAUUCGGCGGUGGUGAUGAUGAUUUGAGAGAGAAUCAACGGCCCCUAUUCGGCAACAUCAGAUGGGGUGAUCUGCUACUGGACCCAGAUCCUAACAACAUCUUGGCCGUCGGAUUGACGGGGCUGCUGACGUGGGCAAGCGUGCAGGUGCUAUGGCAACUGGUGUUCAUCGCAUUGGCUAUACUUGUUGCUGCUGUUAAGUAUUCUUUCAUAGCUGCUGUUCUUCUUUUCAUUCUCAUUGCCCUUCUUUAAAAAUUCUGGUACAAAUUCUUUUUUGUUGGUCAAAGAGAGGGCUUCCCAUUUUAUUUUUGUGUCAAUUUAUAGGUAUAGGUGGUCAGGUUAAUGGGUUGUUUGAAGCCUGGUUGAGUGUUUUGUAAAUGCAAUUUCUGCUGGUAAAAGAGAGAAUUAUGCAAAUUUGUGCUGAAAAGCAAUUGUUUAUGUAAUUACUUCUAGCAUUGUCGCUGAACAUAAAUUUCUUGUAUCUUUAUUGGCAUUUAACUAUUAUAAUUUGAAAGGCAUAUUGGCUCGGAGCUAACUAGCUUUUAGUUUAGCGAUAUUUCUCUUAAUAAUGGAAGAUGUCUCAAAUUUGAAUUCA
rnacentral:lncRNA from 1 species